GGAAAACGCGUUUUUAUAUUUUUUGAAUCUUUUCUUGGCUCAAUUCAACCCUAAUUCGUCCAAAAUACCAACAUACUAUAAAUAACAUUCAAAAAACCCUAUUUUGAAUAAGAAGAUGAGGGGCCAAACACAACAAUUGAAGGGGCAAGAUUGAAGACAAUUCAUCAAGGGCAAGGAGGCAAGAAAAAUAUCAAGGGGAAUUCCAAUUAAAAGCUUCAAAAGAGUUUUUCUUUCUUUUUCUCUUUAUAUUAUUCAUCAAUUUGUUUAGAUUUAAUUCUUCCAUCAUGAACUAGACUUUAAUCCUAUGGAUUUGAUGUAACCUACUUAGACAUGUUUUAAUUCCUAUAUAAUUAUUUCAAUUAAUAUUUCCGGUUAUUUAUUUAUGUUGUUCUUGCGCAAUACUUUCAAUUAAUUGGCAACUAAUUGACUGAUUUGAUGCUUUAAAUUUCUACGCUCCAAAGAGGUAAAUUUAGGUGUGAUCUAAGAAUAACAUAACCUAGAUUUCGUAGAUUUCGAGAGGAAGUGCGAAUCUUUGAGGCUAAUUCCACAUAAAGAACUAGGUCCUUUGAUAAUUUCUAUAUGUUUAGUUCGGAAUAGAGAUAUUGGAAUUAAAAUAUAGAAAUAGAUUCUAUUUGGUGCUCGAGAGAGGGAAAUGAAAUCAAUUUAGAGUUCUUGCCUAUAAAUUUUGGAAAGAUUGAUAGAAAUAGUUAUAACGGUUGGAAAACAUUGUCGAUAGUACGGUGAAAUCACCCCUAGGCAUCCAUAAUUUAAUAAGAAACUUUACAAAUUGCCCUUAUUUACUUGCAUCGUUCAUCCCAUUUACUUUAAUUUAGUAUAAAACAUCGUGUUAAAGUUUGAUUUUCUAAAUAAAGUGAAAGCUGAAAUAAUUAUAGUACUCGAUAGGAUUUAAAUAUCAAUCCCUGUGGAUUCGACAAUUUUACUCUAAUACUAUAUUACAAAACUUGAUACCGUACACUUGCGGUAUAAAACACGUUACAUAAAAUGCGUGGCAGCAGGAUGCAGGAUAAACAACUCAAGUAUACACUUCCAAGUUCAUAAUUUAUAAUCCUAUAGUACUUAUAUCACUUUACUUUCUAGAGAAAUAAACCAUAUUUCUUAAUCACAUAUCCCAUCUCAACAACAUGUAUUCGUUCUUCAUUGACUUUUUUGACGAAAACAAAGUCAAACUAUAGUGAAUCCUUAAUGAGGGAUACAACGCCCUAGCAAACUGCGAGUUGCACGAUAAUUCCGAAAAAUGUUACAUGAGCAUUUUGGAAAAUAAGUAAUUUGGUGGUCUGAACAUAUUUGUUCUAUAUUAUACCCAUUCCAUUUUUGUGAGGCCUAAAUCAGAAAAGAAACAAGCAUACUAUAGAAGGAAAUUUCUUUGAAGAUUAAGAGCUUUCUUUUCAAUGAUAAUUUUCGAUGGCAUUCUUUGAGAAUACAGCUCAAUGUGCUUAUAAUGAUAGUUAAUAUUAUGAUAUUGUCACUUGUUCUACUUAAUUGUAAAAUAAUCCAUCAUUCGUGAAGACUCUUCUCUCAUUUAUAAAAGUAUUGAUUAAAUCAUCUAAAGCAGCCUACCCUGGCAGGCCUAUAUAUUCACAAAGUAAUGAAUUGCCUUCCUGCAAAAUAUUCCGCAAACCAAAAAAAACUAAAAAAAAAAUGAAAAAAACUUGCAAGUGACGUUUUUUGAACUCCAUUACCAACUCAAAGGCAAGAUUUCAUUUUAUACUUCAAGCUCAGACAACAAUGACCAGGCUAUUUCAUUCAGGGGGCUGCAUUUAGCUACACGUUCCCUUUUUUGCCCCAGAAGCAAUUAAUGAUAAUAGGCCUAAGCACCACACAUGUUUCGAACUAGGUUACAUCAAAUGCAAAAUGCAAAGAGAAAGCGAAAUGUUAAUGACUAGUAAUCUAUUGCCCAGCUACGUCGAGUGAUUUUACACAUUAUGAUAAUAAGGAAUAGAGAGAAGAAAAAACCCAGGGUGCCAUGGCAGGGACCUUUAGCCCCUCUUAAGUACCCUAAAGCUUCGCUACUUAUGACAAAGAAGAGAGACUGGAUAAAGAGGACUAGAAUUGGUCUACCAUUUAAUAAAUUUGGAAUCCCCACAUGAGCUAUAGAAAACUUUAGUUAAAUUGAUAUUUCAAUACUCCUUCCCUUCCCAGACCAAAGCUGCACAUUGGCGGUUCCAUCAUUCAAAGUAAUUGUAGAUUCUACCAGAGAGUAAAAGAAGGAUAAGGAACUUACCUGUUGUCACCAGUAGCACAUAUGCAUGUAUAUGAACAAUGCCUACAGCCACCAUACAUAUAGGUGUGAUGAAGAAACAAGCUUUCUAACUGAUACUCUUUCAUGCCCACUUUUGCGUUCCUCAUAACCUACUCAAGGCACAGAAUAGAAAAUCAAAAUAAUUUUACCUCCAUUUAUCACAAAAAGAAUGUAUGCAUACAAACAUGAGAUAACCAUACCUAAAAGGAAGGAAAACUACAUCCUUCUUUAAGAUUUUUACAUAGGAACAUUAAAUUGAUAAGAACAAAUGAGUUGAACAAAGAUUAAAAAGCAAGAAUAAAAAGGUUACAUAAAGGGAAGAAGACAGUUAGUUGUGCUCGAUCAGGACCCUAGCGUUACAUGUAGGAUAAGGUAAGUUCAUUACAGUAAAGAGUCUUAUGCAGUCUGCUCUGUCCAUUAGUUCUUCUCUAUUGCUCUUAACCCAUUGGCGGAAGAAUUGAAUUGCUUGUAUACUCAUUAAAUUAACAGAAACUUUAAGUUUAUCAUGCUUUAUUCAUCCACCCUGCCCAUGCCAAGUGAUCUUAGAAACCAGAUCGUGCAAUCCAAUUUGUGGGUCAUUUAUGAUUUGGAAUUGUAAUUUGGGCAAACAAAAUGACAAGAUGAAAUAAUGGCAUGUAUAAGAUAAUUAUGAAUUUGUAAACUAUUAUCUUCCAACUUGUAUGUAAAUACAUAAAGCAACACCAGAGGUAGAGCCAGGAAGACAUGUUAGGUUAGGCUGAAAUUUAAAAAUAAAAAAUAAAAAAUUGUACCAGAAAAGAUGCUCUUUGCCACAAGAUAUUUAGUUUAAAAGGUUAAACUCGACUCUCAUAACAAAGUGGGUCAAAGUAUAUUUUUGGACACUCAUGACAAAGUUCGAACAAAUAUAUUUUUAACUGAUAAAAGUAAAUAUAAAGCAUAUUACUUUUUUGAUAAUAACAUCCAUUUCAUGGCCAAAAUGAAUAAAUUUUUAACUUACAAUUAUAAAUAAGAAAUAUAUGAAAAAAUACGUUAGAGAAAAUUUAAUUACUUUUCAAAUUUAGUCAAAAGUGUGGCAUCUGUUAAAAUAAAUCAUUUAUCUUUACUUUAAUCAAUAAAAAUUAUUUGUUAUACAAUAAACUAAUUUGAUUAUAAGUGAACUCUUUAAAUUUGAAACUAAAUUUGAAUAAUUAAACAUUGGGCUUGAGUUGGAAAUGAAGUUAGUUGGACUAAAAUUAAUUUUUGGACUGGGAAAAAUUUUUAUUCUAUUUUAUUUCACCACGAAUUUGGGCCAAGUUUUCCAUUUUUUACAAGCCAAUUUGCUUCUGGGCAUCCGCCUCUGAGCAACACUAUAUUGUAUUGUGAAGUUACUAGAAUAAACUGAAAGUAAUAACAAUGCUAAUAUAUGUGCCCCUAAUUAGUUUUAUUGGUUCUUGAUACACAAAUUCCAAUGCUAUCAAGCUUUUGGAGGAAAUCCCUGAACCAAAAGCCAAAUUAAGUGGGUUCCGCAUUCCAAUUUUCAUGCAGUAGUGUCAAAAACAUUCACCUUUUAAGGUAAUUUAUAUGAAAAUUAAGAAGAGGAGAAAUGGAACAGAUAGAUAAAAAUGUUUUUGCCAUAGUAAGUGGCAGGUUUAGAUACUCUUUAUCAUGGGGAAGGUCUUUUAUUUCCCACUACAUCUUUAAGGGAUAACAAAAUGAAAGAAAGGAUUUAGAUGGGAAAGUGUCCUAGCCACAUCUCAAUAUAAACCACUUUUGAAACAAAAGGCAUUGUCUUACGGUCAAAUUGUUUGUAAGAAAAUACGACUCGCAAUAUCAACCUGCAAUGCUCUUUCACAUGUGACCUUCAAGAAUCUAAAUACCAAUGAAACUGCAUGUAUCAACAGUGCCAGAAUCUCCUAAACAAGUUCUAUUAAGUAUAGAAGACCCACUUGUCAAUCAAUGAAUCAAGAUGUGAUCAAUAGUUAUUCUAAUAAUUGGCAUGAACUUCAGUUCACAUAGAUAUAAUAAGCCAAUGUUCUUUUCCAUACAGGCAUAGAAAUAGCGAGAACUAUGAAUAAUUAAACUGCAUGAAACAUUCAUAUAUGAGAUAUCUGGCAAGGAAAUCUCACUUAAAAAAAGGCGUGAAACUAAAAAAUAACAUAAACAAAGAAUGUUAACCUCAACAUGAGCUUCGGAGCUUAUAUCGUUGGCGAACUGAAUGAGAGUAAGCUCUAGUUCCGACUUUGUAACACGGCACUCGGUCAAAAUAGGAUGCAAAGUAUUUAGAUCCAUCUUAAACUUGUCAAUCCCCUAUAGAUAUAUAAGCAUAAAAAUCAAUAAUUUCCCUUCAGAUAGCAUAGUCUUUGUAUCAAAAUCUAGAAAAAUUCUUGCAAGCAAUCCAAGGACCCAAGUUUAGAUGAGAUAAAUGGUAUAGCAUAUAAAUAAAGAAAUAUGAGAUUUGAAGAAACCCAAAAUAAUUUAGAUGUAGAACAGAAUAAAGCAAUCAUGACUUCUCCAUACACAUUAUGACACAUAAUACAGCAAGUUCUGUCAUCUCCAACCCAGUUAAAUGGUUAUAAUUCCAUUUAUUACAUUUUCAUUAGUAACUGUAUCAUGGUCCCUGUCAUCUCACUAUUUUCAUCCAGAAAAAAUAAAUGAUCAGGUCUAAAGCAUGUUUUGGUGUUGUUUAUAAAAGAUUUAAAUUAUAAAUUGAUACAAAUGAGUGGUGGAUAAGUAGAUAGUACUUGUGGGUCCAUGAUAUACGAAUAAAAAGUGGUUUGACCAAUUGUAAACACAUUAUAAACGGUAGCCAAACGUGGUGCUAGAAACAUUAAAAUGAAGUCCACUGAUAAAAUUCAUCAGCUAUGGGCUACUGUUUAUCCUCACUAUAUACCAAGUAAGUCUGCCAUCUGCCUAUGUUCUAAUACUUUAGAGCUACAAGUAUACAUUUGUUUCUCCCUUUUUUUUAUCCUUGGAAUAUAAAACAACAACCAUGAAUAUUACUAUGACAAAUUUGUGUUUACGCAUAGAAACUUGUUAUUCUACAAUAACCAAAGAUGUUUAUUUGAUUCUGGUUUCCUGACAAACAAUAGAAGGCCAUAGAUUUACAUUUUCAGCAAACAGAAAUAUUUGCGGAUAAUCCCCAGCAGAAAUAUUUUCAGCAAACAUAUAAACAAGCACAUAUAAGUGUUUGGCCACUCAAAAGUAUAUGUGUAUGUAUCCAAUGGUACAUUAGGUAUAAAAUAUUUUAUUUUAUUUCACCACGAAUUUGGGCCAAGUUUUCCAUUUUUUACAAGCCAAUUUGCUUCUGGGCAUCCGCCUCUGAGCAACACUAUAUUGUAUUGUGAAGUUACUAGAAUAAACUGAAAGUAAUAACAAUGCUAAUAUAUGUGCCCCUAAUUAGUUUUAUUGGUUCUUGAUACACAAAUUCCAAUGCUAUCAAGCUUUUGGAGGAAAUCCCUGAACCAAAAGCCAAAUUAAGUGGGUUCCGCAUUCCAAUUUUCAUGCAGUAGUGUCAAAAACAUUCACCUUUUAAGGUAAUUUAAAUGAAAAUUAAGAAGAGGAGAAAUGGAACAGAUAGAUAAAAAUGUUUUUGCCAUAGUAAGUGGCAGGUUUAGAUACUCUUUAUCAUGGGGAAGGUCUUUUAUUUCCCACUACAUCUUUAAGGGAUAACAAAAUGAAAGAAAGGAUUUAGAUGGGAAAGUGUCCUAGCCACAUCUCAAUAUAAACCACUUUUGAAACAAAAGGCAUUGUCUUACGGUCAAAUUGUUUGUAAGAAAAUACGACUCGCAAUAUCAACCUACAAUGCUCUUUCACAUGUGACCUUCAAGAAUCUAAAUACCAAUGAAACUGCAUGUAUCAACAUUGCCAGAAUCUCCUAAACAAGUUCUAUUAAGUAUAGAAGACCCACUUGUCAAUCAAUGAAUCAAGAUGUGAUCAAUAGUUAUUCUAAUAAUUGGCAUGAACUUCAGUUCACAUAGAUAUAAUAAGCCAAUGUUCUUUUCCAUACAGGCAUAGAAAUAGCGAGAACUAUGAAUAAUUAAACUGCAUGAAACAUUCAUAUAUGAGAUAUCUGGCAAGGAAAUCUCACUUAAAAAAAGGCGUGAAACUAAAAAAUAACAUAAACAAAGAAUGUUAACCUCAACAUGAGCUUCGGAGCUUAUAUCGUUGGCGAACUGAAUGAGAGUAAGCUCUAGUUCCGACUUUGUAACACGGCACUCGGUCAAAAUAGGAUGCAAAGUAUUUAGAUCCAUCUUAAACUUGUCAAUCCCCUAUAGAUAUAUAAGCAUAAAAAUCAAUAAUUUCCCUUCAGGUAGCAUAGUCUUUGGAUCAAAAUCUAGAAAAAUUCUUGCAAGCAAUCCAAGGACCCAAGUUUAGAUGAGAUAAAUGGUAUAGCAUAUAAAUAAAGAAAUAUGAGAUUUGAAGAAACCCAAAAUAAUUUAGAUGUAGAACAGAAUAAAGCAAUCAUGACUUCUCCAUACACAUUAUGACACAUAAUACAGCAAGUUCUGUCAUCUCCAACCCAGUUAAAUGGUUAUAAUUCCAUUUAUUACAUUUUCAUUAGUAACUGUAUCAUGGUCCCUGUCAUCUCACUAUUUUCAUCCAGAAAAAAUAAAUGAUCAGGUCUAAAGCAUGUUUUGGUGUUGUUUAUAAAAGAUUUAAAUUAUAAAUUGAUACAAAUGAGUGGUGGAUAAGUAGAUAGUACUUGUGGGUCCAUGAUAUACACAUACUAUUCAUUUUGAAAGAGUCGGAGCCCAUCAUACACCUCACGGAUUUCUAUCUCAUCCUCCAAGAUUAGAAUCCCCAGCCUCUGCCUUGUGAGAAAUUUAUUUUGAAUUCUGGUACUAAUUGGGCAAAGCAUAGAGGCUUAAGUUGUUACACUAAGUACAAAUUUAAUAAUGAAAAAGCAAGUGCCAAUCUCUUAACCGUGGUUAAAAAAUUUGAAAUUAUCAAAUUUCCACCACAUAUAGCUCAAAAACUGAUUUUUAUAUAAAUAAAAUAUACCAUAAGCUUUGAUAAUAUACCAAAAGGAAGGCCAGAAAUCCAACAACCCGAAAUAAUAGUAAAUAAACUAUUUUUCAAUGUUUUAAACAUUUGCUUACAAAUACAAUACACCAAUAGUUGUCUUGUGCUCAUUAACUCAAAUCGUGCAUUCACGUACUAAAUGGCCUGACAUCAGCAAAACUCCAAUUUAGUUCAGCUAUCUUUUGCCACAAUAAAAUUAGUGGAUAAUAUAGAGGUUUCUCUCCAACUUCCUCAUAUGAAUUUUUGUAACCUUCUCCAAAACAUCAAAAAGCUUAAGACUUUAGACAAUUAAACUUCAAGACAAUGAUACACUUUAAGGCACAUAAAACUGGGACCUCAAAAUAGGAAACUCUUGCAUUAACUUUUAACCAAUUGCAAUCUCAAGACACCGAUUCCAUACUGCAAACGCAGCUUUAAACUAUAUUCGAAAGCAUGAACCACAAAUGGACUACUGAAUGCAUCAAAUAUAAUAUCCAUUGAAACGAACCUGAAGAGUUCUACAUGAUCGGUGCAAUGACGCGUUUGCUCUUCACCACCCUAACAAAAGAACGUAUUCGGAUUUCAUUAAUUCUGUAAACAAAUCAAAAAUUUUAAUCGAAUAACACAAAGAGUAAAUGAGAAACCUGGAGAAAGACGAAGCCUUGGAGAGGGCGAGAGGAGGUUGAGAGGUGCUGGGUUAGGGAUUUAAGGAGUUUCUCUCUGUUCUUGGCGUGGAGCUCCAUCGGGACCUCCGGAGGGGAGAGAGAAGACGCCAUUGUAACUGGCUGAGUACUGAAAACUGAGACUUCUCACUUCUGCCAUUUUUUAUUAAUAAAGGUUAUUUAAUGUUUAGUGAUGCUUAGAUAAUUUACUUAUAAGUGAAUAAGUCAAUUAUAAAGAGUAAUUAGUUAAAAAAAAGCUGCUUAUUUUAAAAUUUAAAUUAACACUACUUUGAGCAUAAGUAACCCUGUAUUUAAAAGUAAAACAGGUAACUUUUUUAAGAUAAAAUAUAAAUAAAAUAAUUUUAAUGAUCGACUAUUAACUGAUUAGGACAAUCAUAAGAAUAGAAUUUCACUACUCAUGACAAUUAAAAUGGUAAAUCUUGGCAUCAAAGAGGAUAAAUUCAUGGCAAUCACAAAAAGUAAACUUGACAAUCCCAAAAGUUAUGAUAGAAAGAAAAUAAAGUUUGCAUAAAUCGUGAUAAAUAUAUUCUUGCACAUAAAGAGAAUUUUCCAUUUCUACAUUAAGAACUGUAAUCAUUUUGACUUCAUCUUUUUGUUUAUUGUGAUCUUUAUUAAAGACCUUAUAAGAGAUACCUUUUCACUUUUGCAAGUUUAUCAAUGGACCAUUGGGUACCCUUUUUGUAAAAAUGAGAAAAAAAUAUAAUUGUUAUGAGAUCCAAAUAAGAGAUAGAAAGUCAAAUAUAAUGGCUUAAUGUGAUAGAUAACGAUCAUAUUUUUCAUUUUUGUGGUCAAAAAAUGGAAAUCGAAUGGGAGCCAAAUAACUUUGUUACGAACAAAACAAAAUUUACUUGAGCCCACAUAAACAUACUAGACCACAUGCAAGAUAUCAAAACAGUCCGAAACGUGCAAAAAAUUAAAUGAGCAACGACAUAAGAUAGUGGCGAAGAACAACAGAAAAUAAGUAAUUUUCAAAAUCUUCUACAAGGCAUUUGAAUUUUAAACCUAAUUUUUAAAACUAUUGGAACGAUAAUUUUGUGAUUAAAUAUUGAAGAAGCGAUUUUUUAAAUGAUUAUUUUCUAUAGACAAUUUUUUAAUCCAAUUUUUUAAAAUGCACUACACAGAGUAAUGUAUAAUUUAACAAAUUUUGUUUAGAUUACUUGUAUAAGUUAAAUUGCAUUGAGUUUAGUAUGAUGGGUUUGUUUGAGCCAUUUUUUUUGGAGAAUAACUUUUGUAAUAAUGAUUCUUUAUAAAAUGAGUGGUUAAAAAUUAAGUAAAAACUGUGUGUUUACGUGUAAAGUUAUUUUGUAAGAAAAAUGUAUUGAUUGAAAAUGAGUUUGAAGAAAAAAUAAUAAUUUUUUUACAAAUGGGGGAGGGACGAUAUGUGCUAUACUUCUAUUUCAUUGCCUCGUGUUUUGGAACACAAGUUUAAAUUUUGGUCUUUUUUCCCCUUGUAAAUCUAAAAUAUACUGAUUGUGCUUUUGUUUAUGUUCUUGUCAGUAUGAUAUGUGCUAUUUAGCCCUUGUUUGAGCCCUAUUUUGGAAAAAAUAAUAUAUUUUGAAUAGUAGAUUGAUGGAGAAUUUAUGGUUAAAAAUAAAGAAAAAAUUCAAGUUUGCGUAUAAUAUUAUUUUAUUGAAGAAUGUGUGGUUGAAAAUUAAUUUGAAAAUAUGAAUUUUUGAAUAAUGGAGCUCAAUCAAGGGAUUAAUUGCCUUGUGUAGUAGUUAGUAACACAUGUUUUGCUUUAAGUUUCAUUUCAAUUUUGUGUUAAGUGCAUUGGUGUUCUUGCAUAUAUUUGAAAAUAUAGAUUCUAUCAGAUUUUCUACUGAAUUAGGACGUGUUUUUAAGAUUUAUAAUUUUGUAGAAAUUCAAUUGUUCAUGUAAUAAUUGUAUUCUUAUUUUGAUGUUUCAUAUAGUUUUAUGCUCUUAGAAACUAAAAUGGCACAUAAUCAACUUCUGACAAAUAAAUGAAAUUCCAUUAUUUAGAAAUGACACGCCUUGUGUAUUUUAAGGAGGAGACUCAAAUAUUUAUUCUUUUUUAAAUUUUAAUCCAUCCUAUAUUAUAAAAUAAACUUGUCACGCAUAAACUUUGUACUAACCUACACGGCAUCAAUUUUCCCCACAACUCUAAGCACCUAUUAAAUUGAUUUUCAACCACACAUUUUAAGUGAUUCAUGAAUUUUAUAAAAAGCAGAAGUUUUGCUAAACAGCCGAUCCAACUCUACCCUGAAAAAUGUGUUUGGUAGAGCAAAGCAUGCAAUGUUUGACAGAACAAAAACAUGGCAUUGACUCUAUAAAAAUGUCGGUGUAGUGAUGCAUAUUGUUUCUAUUAUAAUUGUUGGAAAAAUGAGCGAAUUGACUCACUUUUUGCACAAUUUUUGGUGGGAGUCAUUGGUCCAAUUUGAAAUAUCAAAAUUGAUAUGUGUUCUCUUCCGCGAGAACAUCGAAGUCAUGUAUUUAUUUGUCAAAAAUGAAAUUCGGGUGAAUGAGAAAUUGGAGUCUAAAGUGGACCAUUGGAAAUGGUCUAUAUUGGUGGGAAAACUUUGUCCCAUAUAGGAAAAACAUGGAAAUCAAAACCACUUUAUAUAUGGUUAUGUAUUCGAAUGGUGUGAUCAAAUAUAGCACAGAGGCUCUCUCCACGUGCGCGCGCAGGGAGGGUGCAAAUCACGGACAAAAAUAGCCUUUGGACUUGGACUUGAGUGCGGGCGCGACCUGCGCACACGAAUGUCGGAUCGAACGGAGCAAAAACUGGCCAAUUUGGACUGUCCGCGUUUUGCAAUUUUUAUUUUUAUUUUUUUGUGAUUUUUCCAAAUGACUUUUGAGUGUCUGAAACUCCAAAACUCCAAUGGUCGAAACCGAAGUGUAACUCCAAAAACGACAAUGGUUAAUGCAGAAAACUAAUGGUAAGAUUUAGUCUAUAUAAUUCACUCAAUUUUCAGCAGUUCAUACACUGAAAAUUUUUGUCCGCAAUUUCCUUCCUAUCUCUGUUUUGUUCCGUCUCAUUCCAAUAAGGUGAUAUUAAUCGAACACUCACCCAGUUCAUUGGAGUUGAAUCGCGGUGCUCGGAUUCUGCUGGUUACCAUUGUAUCCUGGGAGACAGACGAUCGAACCAAACCUUUAGAACCAUGGUAAGGGGGCGAAUUUGUCUAAAAGAAACUGUGUUUACACAGACGUCAGGUUGAAAUUAUAUAUGCUAUUUAUUUAGUUUGCAAUUUUGCAUAUUUAUUUAUUUAUUUUGCAACGUACUUGGAAUUUAUGUUAGAAAUAGAUAAAUAAAAUAAACUGUUUUUUCUAAUUCGUUAUAUUUGUGAAAAAUAUAUUUCACAUAUAAAGUAUUUCUAUUUAUAAGUGGAAAGUUUUGUGUUAUUUUAGUUAGUGUAUGAAUAAAAACACUUUAUGCAAAUUUUUUUUACAAAUACUCUGAGUUUCGCCUGCAAAUACAGUAAGCUAUCAUAUACAGUGAGUUACACUGUCAAAUACGAUGACUUGCAAAUACGGUGAGUUGCACUAUCAAAUACGAUGACUUGCACUGCCAUAUAUGGUAAGCAAUUGCCAAAUACAGUAAGUGUGAAUCCGAUGUACAAAACACAAAUAAGGUAUAUGAGAGUCUGGUUCCACUCCAUACGCUACCGAUUAAAUUUACCAACAAUAAUAAGGUUAUUGUUAUCUGUUAUUGAUAAUUAAACAACAAUAGGUUAGAUCCUAAUUACAAUAUUGAAGAAAAUGAAAGUUCUUUCUUUUCAUUCCAAGCAGCUCUUAAUGUUGUUGAGCUUACAAUUAUGGAUUUUUCCACAAUACAAGUUCAUAAGAAAAAGAGUAAUGAUAUUCAUCACCAUUGGUGUUUAGCAUCGGUCCAAGUGACAGUUAAACGACAUUUAACGAUGUUUCACUUAAAUGCAAAGUCAAAUUAUCUAGCAAAAUUUGUAUCGAGCGUGAUCCAAAGAUGCACAAAAUAUUUCCUUUAAGAGACUAGCCAGUUCUUGCAUUGGACCAAAAAAAAUUAUGUGAGGUGAAAAUUUUAUUAUGUAGUACUCCUCAUGCAUUUUCUUCUUUCCAUGAAAUCAUUUAUUCUUCUGAGUGCAAAUUCUAGUGUUUGCUCGCUCAUGUUUGCAAAGCAAACUCGAAACCAACCAGGCUCCGAACAAUGGCAAGACGAACCCGGAGAAAUGUUUAAUUUCACUUCAUGCAAUAUAGACUUCCAAAGAUCCAAUUCAUGCUCUUUUGUAGGUUUCUCCAACAAAGGACUUAAAUUCAUCCAGCAAAACAGUCCAGCAUUUCCUUUCAAACAUUUGAUUCCAGCCUUCUUCAAACCAUCGAUGAUUAUUUCAUAUCGUUUUCUCAGCCUUUCUCGAUUAAUUUUUAUGUAAUUUUGUGUAAAUUCCUUGUCCGACAACAUUGAAGCUAAAAGUUGUUGUGUUUGAGAAGAAAUUAAAGUGAAACUGGACAUUCUUCUUGCAGUUGUCACAACUUUGUCAUUGUAUGAGUAUAUAGUCCCAACUCGAAAACCCGGGAGGCCUAAGUCCUUCGAAAGGCUAUAAAAAACAUGAACUCUUUCGGCAUCUUUGUAUCCUCGAGCUUCAAGAACUUCGGAAAUGCUGACAAAUUCAGUACAAGAAAAUGCUGACCCUGAAUAGAUUUCAUCAGAAAUAAGAUGGAUGUUCUUACGCGUAGCGAAUUCAAGAAUCUCCUCGAGGAGAGAUCGCUUAACUGUCGAACCUAAUGGAUUUGAUGGAUUUGUAAUGAGUACUCCUCUAACUUUGAUGUUCAUGGAUUCAGCUUCAUUAUAUGCUGCUUCUAAAGCUUCAGGAGUAAUCUCAAACUUGUUUGAGCUGUCACAUUUAAUUGGUAGGAUCUUGACCCCAGUUCUCCACCUCAAGUCUCUAUCAAACCUGUGACAUACAAAACCCAUAAGUUAGUCUCUAGUCGAGUUGAGUACUGUAUACCAAAUAUGCUGUGUAUAUUUCGUACCCGGGAUAGUAAGGAGUUGGAAUCAGCAAUGCAUCCCCAGGAUCAGCCAAAAUGAAGGUUAAUAGCUCAUUGGCUGCUGUUGCACCAGCAGUUAAAACAACUCUUUCAGGAUUAAAUUUUGCUCUUCCCCCUCUUAUCUGUUCCAUGAAGCUUGCCAUUGCCUGUAUUAACACAAAAUUGUACAUAUAUUAGAGCUUAGAACUUGUCAAACAAGCACAUCGAUAAUUCUUGGGAACAUACCUUUCUGAAAGAUUGUAAUCCAUGGUAAUCUUGAAACAAAGCAUUCUCUCUAAAGCCACAGCUCUUAUUUUCCCAUUUUGUCGCCUCCGAAUGCUUUUCCAAAUAUUCUUCGAGCAAAUCAAAUGAAACCUGUACAAGAAAACAAACAAUUAUUAACAACCCAAAUGAAGAAACGAGGGAACGAUGUACUUUUCCGUUGAAUCACGUCAUCUAAAAUCUUAGGCUAUAAGAGAAAAAACAUACUUGAUUUUCUGCUAGUCCCAUCCGUAUGACACCAGACGGAUUUUACAUUUCAUUAUAAGGGUUUUCGUCGUAAGCUUUCCAACCUGCAAAAUAUGGUGAAACUUCUCCAUGAGUUUCUGAGACUGCAACUUUUGAUAAACCAACAGAGGGUUUCUCAAUCUCAAUUGCCAUAAUUUCUACUUUGUUGCAGAAGGGUUUUUGGAAUGAAAAAAGAAUUGGUGAAGCUUUCCUCAAAGUCCUCUUAUAUAUAGGAAGUCUUGAGAGAGGGGAAAAAAAAUAAAUGAAUAAGCAAAUGAACAAAUGAUUGAUUCUGUAGAUUAAGCAAGACCUUUUAGUAAUGCUUUCAUUACUGGUGACAACUCUUGGUUCCAUAUUUUUCAAAGUAAUUUUCGUAUUCUCUCAAUCUCCACGAGAUACACAGCAAAUAUGGUGGUUGAAUUGGGUAGGUGUUUUACCUUAAAAAAAUCAUUCUUCAACUUGUUUUGUAGUAAACGUUCAACCACCUCGUCUAAUAUUGUUGUAGAGAUAAUUCCAUUUUUCGACAUAAUCCCUCAAAUGCAAGUCAUAUAUCAUUUUCUUUGAAAAUAUUUUCAAUGUACAUUUUUUUUUUUCAAAAAUGGAUGGCUACUCUCGUAGAAUAUAUAUAAUUGCUCAAAUAACACACUAAAAAUUACUUUGUUGGAACACAUUUAUUAUUCGAAAAUCUUCAAUCCUCAAAAGUGCAGUUUUGUUUUGUCAUUCCAAAGUUUGCUUUUUCUUGUGGUCAACAAAGAAAGGAAACAAAUUUACAAUAUUUCUUCUUCAACGUUUCUCUAGAUUUUUUCUUGAAUUAAAAUCACUAGUGGUGGCAUGUUGAAUAUCAAAGCAAAAUUUUUUAAAAAGCAUAAUAUAGAAGGGAGGCUCGGCUCAUCUCCAUUAAACUAAACUUACAAGGCAUAAAAGCAUAAACUAAAACUAGAUUUCAUGUACUCAUAUCAUACUUCGUGUAAACACUUGACAGGUCAUAGUCAUACUACAAACAAUUUCACUUCCAUUUUUCAAUUAUUUCCUCAAAAAAGAUCGUCUAGAAAUGUUUGAAGGCAAAGUUUCGUCGUCAAAAGUGAAAUUUCUUGUAGUGUCACUAUCUACAAUUAAUAAUUAUUAGUGAUUCGGAUUUCAUUAUGUCUGCAAUCCGAAGAGUUUGAGUAAACUUCUAAAUCUUUUGAAAUCAAGAUCAUGAUUUCCGAAAAUUAAAUAUGGCCUGCUAAGAUUUGAGUUGAUCUAAGAGUUGUUAAGUUUGAGAUCUGACAAAGAUACUUGCACAAGAUCAUUAAGAUUCUGAUUUGUUCACAAAAAAAUUGACAAAGUUAGCUACGAGAAGAUAUCAUGGCCCCACCCCAAUACUAAUCAAGAGCAACUGAAUUUAACUUCCUUAGAAGUUUAAGGAUUAUUAUCAACUAAUUAUCAUGUGUUCUAAUCAUUGGUUAAUCAGCUAAAUCUUAAUCAAAUCAAAUGUCCUAAAUAGAGUUACACUUACAACUUACAUGUGUGUCUGGUGUCUGCAAAACUAAACUAUCACAUGAAUUGCUCGUCUAAUUGCCUAUUUAAACGUUCUAUCCAUUAUUAAGGGACCUGGAUAAUAAUAACAAAUUAUAAGCCCCUGUUUGACAUCAAUUAAAUCAAAACUCAUUUUUUUCUCAAACUUAUUUGCGACUGCAUUUCACACAAUAAGAUAUUUUGUACAUAAACCUCCAUUUUUUUCUACUUUUAACCACACAUUCUCCCCAAAAAAAUCACUAUUCCAAAACACAUUCCCCCCCCCCCCCCCCCCAACCCAAAAAAAUUUAAUGGAUGUCAAACAUGGGUAAAUCUUAUUCUCAAUACAAGUCAAAUCAGAAUUAAAGAAGAGACAUAUUAUAUAUGGGACCACGAGGCGAGGCCAGUGGCAAAGGCCCAUUGUAGAAGAUGCCAAUCGCCUUGAAAUUAUGUUGCCUCGCCUCAUAUUAAAACAUUUUGGAACGAGACAUCUAAGGGCAGGGCUUAAUCGCCUUGGAGGGCACAUGUGCUAAUGUUGCAUGAAGUCUUACAUUUUAACGGGCAGUCAACUAAGCAAGACAUCAUGUCAUUUGCCUUAUAAGUUGAGGCGUAACAUGUAGUAUGUGUAAAAUUUUGAUAAAUAAGCCAUAAGAAAGCUUGAACUUAGAUCAUUAGUUUGUUGAAACAAUUCAUCAAAAAUAAUGAUGACAAAUAUGCUGCAAACUAGAACGACUAGACCGGAACAAACCGGCCACUUCAGAUUGGUUCCAAAAAAAUAAAAUCUAGUUUUGGAUGGUUGAAUGAAAGGAUCGCAAAAAGAUCCAUAUGCAGCAUGGAUUCCCAUACGAGAUCUUCGAUUAAUGUAUUCUUUGUGAAGCACUUCUUAUAUUUUAUCGUUUUAUUUCUUUUUUAAUGUGGAAUUAUGGGACAUCAAUAAGGAACCAUAAAGAAUGUAUAUUAUUUAUCUAUUCUAUAUGUUGCAAGAGAAAGAGAGAGAAUAGAGUAUUGUAUUGUAGUUUUUCUUCCAUUUAUUUUUGGAGAAUAUCGUAAUUUGUAAAGCAACUUAAAAGAUCUCAUAAUCCAGCAUCAACUUAGAGAACGAUUACCGGUUUUAAUGAUUAAGGACUACUGUGAUAUAAUAUAAAAGCAUUACAAUGUAUGAGCAAAAUAUACAUAUGGCCCCCGUUUGGCCCCCAUUUUGUAGAAAUGAGAAUGGGUGGAAUAGUAUUUUUUUGAAAAAUGAGUGAUUGAAAAAGAAUGAAAAAUUUUCGAUUUACGUGUAAUAUUAUUUUAUAGAAUAUUGUGUAAUUGAACAUAUGAGAGAAAAAAAUAAAAUGUAAUGGAAUGAAAAUUAAUUGGGGCCAAAUUAGGGCAUAAUAUAUAUAUUAAAAAAAAAGUCUCAAAUUUUUUUUUUAAAAAAUAAAAAUUGAAAGACGUAAGAGCAAGAGAAAAAGAAAGUUGAGAAGAAAGAUAGAGCAAAAUUACCGCUUCCUUCUCUUAUUGUGGUAGUUUCGGUUUUAGUGAAGGUUUCACAGUCGAUAUUGUUGAUUUAUUUAUUUAUUAUUAUUAUUUUUUUUUUGUGUGUGUCUCUUUUUUCUAAUCUUGAAAUGGUAUAAUAUUGUUCUGCACUGAAUUGAAGAAAGGAGGAAAGCAUGUCUCAUAGGAAAUAAAUUUUUGGAAAAAUUGCAGCAGCGAUCCCUAUCCUUUCACUUUUAUGCGGACUUUACCCUAAUCUUUAAUUUGUGACAGCGAAAGCCCCUAACCUUUAAAAAAUAUACAGCAGAGGUCCAAAUGGACGGCCGUUAGUUGACCAAGAAAAGUAAAUUUUGACUAAUUUUGACCAAAUUAAAAAGAGUAAAAUUAUAACUUAAUAAUUACCAUAUUAAAUAAAUAAAUAAACCGAAAAAAUUCAGGAAAAAAAAUAUUAUCUUCUCCAAACACCUCACUCCCAUCCGUGUCCUAUCACCAUCCCCAUAGUAACCAGCAACGUCAACACCACUUCCUGUCGAUCAGCCACAGCCACCCAAAACCAACUGCCACCACAACCAUCAAACCUACACCAAAAAUCCCCAUCCCAGAUUACGCAAGAGUUGUACAAUGAACAUCCACCACCAUCAAACAUACACCUAAAACCCCCACCCAACCAUUGCGCAAGAGCUACACAGUGAACAGCCACCACCACCAUUAAACCUGCACCCAAAACCAAAAACAACCCUUCAACAUUUCUAUAAAUUGAUCGAUUGAUUGUUAUAAUUUUGUGGCUAAAAAUCACAGAAAAACUCCAUUCUAGUUUUGAGGCAAAUUUUAUUUGCAAAGGAAAUUGAAGAAAAUGGCAAGUUCUUAGUCUCAGCCGAUGCUAGGCUUUUAUUUAGGGGUGGGCGCGGGUCGGUUCGGUUCGAUUCUAAAGAGAACCGAAUCGAACCAAAAUUUUCGGGUAUUUAGUAAAUGGAACCGUCGGGUCCAAAUAUAAUUAUGGAACCGUUCGGGUUCGGUUCCAUUCGAUUCGGUUCCGUUCCGUUCGAUUUUGUACUAUAAUUAAAUUUUUUAACAUUUAUAAUGACAUUAUAUAAAUACAACUAAUGACACAUUCAAUGGUUUUGAAAUGUCAGAGACUCGUAGACUACCUUGUUCAAAUGAUCCCUACAGUCAAAGUUUCGGUUGGUGGAGGUCACAGCUUCGAUCGGAGGUCACAGCGUCGGUCAAUGAUUGUAUAGAUUUUGGAAUGUCAGCGAGGCUGUGAGAGUCGAGACAGCGUUAUGCGCUUUAGUGUAGGUAUUAAGGCUUAUUUGAUGGGUUGAAUCUUGUUGGGCUAAGAAAUGAGACAAUAAAAGGGGUAUUUGGGCCAAAAAUUAAAAAAUUAGAAAUGAAACAAAUUAUUGGGUCAAAAAUUUGGAUUUAGAAAUUGUUAAUUUGUUUAGAAAAAAUUAAAAUUAAAAUAAUUUGAUUUAUUCAAUAUAAAAAAAAUUAGAAAGAUUCAGUUCUUCGGUUCUUGGUCUAGAACCGAGAAUCGAACCGUACCCGUCGAUUCUCAAUUUAGAUACCCAUUUGGGUAUUUAAUUUGAUAAGAACCAUCGGGUUCGGUUCGAGAGAUUUGUCCAACCCUACUUUUAUUAUUUCUUAUUGUAGCUAUGGGCAAUAAAAAAUGGAUGAAAGAUCUUAAGGUUUUGGAGAAAUUUGUUCGAUUAUGUAAUAUAAUUUUACAAUAGCAAGUAAAAACUGAUUCAGUAUAAGGACGAUGGGUAUAUAAUUGGAUUUUUGGCAAUGAGUGUGAGGAGAUGUUGCCGACAGUGGUGUGUGAUUGGUCUUUUAGCAGUCGUACCGAUGAUAGGCGGCGGGUGCUAGUGGCUAGUUUUAGGGAAAAAGAGGGUGGGGAUGGCUGAAGAAGACAGCUCUUUUUAAAUUUAUUUUCUUAAUUUUUUUGAUUUUUUUGGUUCAAUUUAUUUAAUAUGGUAAUUAUCAUGCUACAAUUUUAUCCUUUUGAAUUUGGUCAAAAUUUAUUUUUCUUGGUCAAACCAUCCAUUUGGACUUUUGUUGCAUAUUUUUGAAAGGUUUUGGAUCUUCGCUAACACAAAUUAAAGAUUAGGGUAAAGUCCGUAAAAAAAGUGAAAGGUUAAGGAUCGUUGCUUCAAUUUUUCCUAGACUUGUUUACUUAAUUCUUUUAAUGUUCAAUUCGUGAUUUUGAUUUUGCUACAAGUACUAUUGCUAUUUUUACACAAUUUAGAUAAAAUAUUAAGAGAAAUUGCAAGAAAUGUCCAAAAUUUAUUCAAUGUCCAUUUUACAAUAAUUUAGCCCAAAAUACCCUUGUUAGUAAUUUCUAAUUACACAAUAAGACAAAAAAAUUUAUAUAAUUAAAAAAAGUGUUGACCAAUGAAAUUUUGACACAUAAUCUAUACUACUUAUUUCCAAAGGUACAAAUGUCGAUUCACGUUAAAUACGAACUUUACCCACGAAAGCCUACCCGACUAGACCCAUAUGAUUCAAAAACCAUAGCACUCUCCCACACUCACCCACUUCUUCUCACUUUUCUUUUGUAACCCUAAAAAUUUCUUUCGUAUUUUCAUUGCCCGUUGUUUCAACUAUCAAAAUCUCCAUCAUCGAUCGUUAAUUGCCACUUUGUUGCCUUAGUUCCCUCUUCUUCGCUCUUGGUCAGAUUCUUAGUUAUCUUUCCUUCAAAUUGUUUUUUCGUGGUUGAGUUACUAUACAUUAUUUCUUCAUCUCUAGAUUAUCUUGGGCAUCAAGUAAAAAUAAUAGAUAAAAAAUUUACAAAUUAGAAUUAUGUGGAAGAUUUUCCAUUCCUCAAAUUUUAAUGCUAUAAAUGGAUCUACGAAUUUUGAAAAGUUAAUUUUUUUUAUUAUUUUUUUUCUUUGGAGCUAUAGAUAUUGGUCAUAGGAGUUAAUCGAUCUAUGUUGGCAUUGCUUCCUAGUUGAUUAUUUUAUUGAGUACAAUUUUGUGCAAUACUUGAUUAAUUUAUAUCUGGGUACUGAAUAAACGUAUAUUUGUUUGUUGUUUGAUUAAAUAUAUAGCUUAUUCGUUUCUUGAACUAUGUCAACUAAGCACAAUUUUUAUGUGCAGGAAAUGUCGUGGACUAACUGAUAAUGUUGAAAUUGACUAAUUUGACCAUUUAAAUAUCUUGAAGCGCAGCACUGUUACUGAAUAUAGUUGAUAUUACUUGUGUAAAUCUCAAUAAAAUGAUCAAACCCAUGGUUUCAUUUGCCUGAGUUCUGCGGUAAUUCGAAAAUAAUGCUUAAAAGAGACUUGCACAUGUAAUGUAGAAAAUGAAGUAUAGAUGGAUUGUGAAUGAUCUAUUUGAUAAUCCAAGGAGUGUUUUUAUGUUGUUCUAACGAUUUUAGCUCCAUGAUGUUUCAAUUUAUGAUCCAAAUAUUGUGCCAUUAAUUAAAUAAUAGAAUAAUGCUUCAUAAUUAAUCAAAUUGGAUUUAAUCGAGGAUUAGGAGCUGGUGUUAGCUAAGGUUACUUUAUUUGACUAAUUGUUACUAGGUUGAGAAGUGGAGAUCCUAAAUGUCUGCUCGUUAUUCCUUUUAUAUGGAGUUUCUAGUGAUAUCUAUAACUUUAAAAUUAUUAAGCUAGAUGCAUGGAUGUAAUCCUCUAGAGCUUUAGAAUGAAAAAAAGUAAGGUUUCAUAUGUAAUUUGCUAGAUGGAGACAUGGAGUAUAUCCUUAAAUUAAAAGCGUUUAUUCUACAAAUUCAUAUUGAUUGGAUGGCGAAUACUCCUUCAAGGUCACUAGAAUCUGGACUCCAUUAAAAUCCAUGCAAAUUAUAUCAUCUUAGGAACUUUUAGUUUUGAAGGAUUUCAAAUGUGAAAUUUAUUUUUACAGUUUCAUAACUUUCUAAACAUAUUCAAGAUUGGAAUAUAUUAUUCUGUGAAUACAUUUAUCUUUGGUGUACUGUAUUUACUAUCUUAAAAAUGAAUAACAUAAUACGAGAGGGAAAAUACGAAGCAUUGCAUGUCAAAAGUUUUGCUAAGUUUUUAUCUUUGUUGUUUUGUAUUUACCAUCUUAAAAAUGGAUAGCAUAACAAAUUAUUGUUACGUCGAGAUAUAUAUAAUUCUAAUCGUUAAUGCAGUAAACUUGUGAUUUACUUUUGUAGUGGGAAUCAUUUCGUUACUACAAUGAUAUGUUAGUAGGAUUCGUGUGUCUUUAACAAGUUUUUAUAAAUAGUUAGAAUUUUAAAUUCUUACAUUUUGUUGAAUAUGUAAGCAUCAGUUUAUGGGCACCUAUUUGAUUAAAUAGCAAGCAUUUUCAAUGGUUAAGUGGUUUCAUAUAUUUCUUAUGUCAUUUUAUUUAAUUGGUAGGUUCUCACAAUUUUUUUUUCUGGUUAUUUGUAGAUGACUUCCUUACGUCAAUGCUCCACCACCAUGCCAACCUCGAUCCAUGAGGGUGAAGACACCCAGUGCUAGCACGAGGACUCCUUUCACAUGCUCGGAUCAUAAAAGGGUAAGAGAGAUGUGUCUUCUUGGGCCAGUCACCUUCAUUUGGUGUGCAUAUAUAGUUUUUGCUAAAGUAGGCGACGAUGUCCUUCCCUCAAAGUAUGGUGGAGAGAUGAGUCGAUGUUACCAAAGUUAAUGAUUCUUGUUCAAAGGGUUAGCUUAGAAUGUUGUUGGUGUAUGGCAUUGUGUGUUUGGAAAAAUAUUUGCAACGUCAUUUUGUGUACCAUCAUUGAGCAAAUUUUUGGAUGAUUGUAUAAUUAUGAGUUUCGAUGUAAAAUUGAAAUGGAAACAACUGCAUUUUUUGUAGUAAUGGCAUGUUGUUCAGGUCUUACAUUGUGCACACAUUCAUGAAUUGUCAUUCCUAAUAGUUGAAAUAUCAAUUGUCAAGAAUAACAGGUCUUACAUUGUGUACACAUUCACAAAUAUUGUGUACCAUCAUUAGUAAAUUUUUGGAUGAUUGUAUAAUUCUGAGUUUCAAUGUAAAGUUGAAAUGGAGACGUAGCAUCUUUUUUAGAAGUGGCAUGUUGUUCAAGUCUUACAUUGUGUACACAUUCACGGACUGUCGUUCGUGACAGUUGAAAUAUCAAUUGUCGAGAAUAACAUGUAUUUAUUAUCGGGAACAAUACUUCAUGUGUUAAGAAAAUGUUUGAAAUCUAUAGAACUCUUUCAAUUGGAAUGAACUCUCGUUCUAGAUAAAUGAACUGUCAAGUGUUGAGAUAAACAUUGUCCAAAUGUUGAUAAUAACUUUUCAAAUGAUGAGAUCUUGAAAUGUCGACAAAAUCAAACCAAUUGGAUUAAAAAAAAGAGUUAAAAACAAAUUUAUUGGACGUACAAGUUCUUCAAUAUGAUUUCAAUCAAAUGUGUAUUAUAAAUCCAUCAUCAUUAACCAAAAAAAAAAAAAAGAACUCUCAUGAUAAAUAUAGUAUUGUGUUGAUUUUACAAGCAUGUUGGUAAUAAAUACAAUUUCACUAUUCAGAUGACAACCAUAAGGUCUAAAACCUAUAUUGUCAAACAAAUGUCAAUCAAUUGUAAUUACAUAGAGUAGGUGUUGGUGUGGAGUGUUGUAAUGCAAUUACACCAUGCUUGACUCCUCUGUAGAAGCAUGCAUAUGGCUUCAAAUACAAUAUUCAAACACAAUUCCUCACGAUAAAUUCCUAACAGUAAGAAUUUCUUUCAACUAUGUCCUCGUCAACUAAAGAAACUCCUUAUAUUGAUAUUAGUAUGAAUCUCUCCCACCCGAGUCUUCCGUGGACAAUCUGAUCAUCAUUUACUCGGAAAACAAUGAACAAAUGUAUGUUGUUUCCUACGUUUCUCAAUUGGGAAACCUCAACCAUCGCAUGAAUGUUCAUCCAAUUCGAUUUUCCGAUUUAGAAAACGAAGGUGAGCCAAGCAAACCUAGUUUUGAAAAGAAUGGUAAACGCAAUAUGGUCAAUGGUAAAUACAAAAUGUUCCUUAGCUUCGUUAAGUUUGUAACAUAGUUCUCAACAUUUGAGAAUUACAUUUGAAGUGCCAUUCUCAACAUUUAUAAAAUGUUGAGAACGAUAUGUUGAUCAGACACCUCACUAUAUGCAUUUAUCAUUUUCUUCAACGUCAAUCACUAUUUUUGUAAAGAAUUUAUUCUAUCAUUAAUGGUAUUGCCAAUAUAUGACUAACGUUGCAAAUCUAUCUAUCGAAGUUGUUUAAAUAGGUUGUGACAUUAUAUUUGAAGAACACAAAAUAAUAAAUAUGAAUUAGAUUCUAAAAUAGUCCAAUAAUCUUGCAACAAAUAUCUAUUAAUUGUUUGAAAAAUCUAAUCCAUUUACAUCAUAUAUAUCACAACAAUUAUGAAUCACAACUUAUCAACAAAAAUAAGAUUUCGAACAAAAUUUACCUGCUAUCAAUAAUUGUGGAUGAGAUUAAAUUUUUUGAAAUGAAAUUAUAUAAUUUUCUUAUGAAUUAAAAGUAUGUAAUUUUUUUGUCAAUGAUUUUUCUAUUUCAUCAUUUUCAUUUAUAUCCAAAAGGAAGUUAACCCAUUAGGUAUCACCUUGCAUUGAUGUAACUUCUCAUGGAAACUACUUCAUUUUUUUAGAAAUUUGUGAGAAACUAAGGAAAAACUAAUUAAAAAAUUGCUUCAUUUUUCAUUAAGGGUAUAAAAGACAAUUUGAUACCAAAUUUGGUCAUUUUUGCAAGAGUUAUCAAAAUUAGACACUUUUCAAUUGACAAACAUGUAAUUGGCCAUUUUUGAAAAUUCGCCAAAAUAUUAUAGCAUAUCACCUGAAGAACUCUAUAUUUUUUGUGGUCCAAAGUACGUUAAAAACAUUUACUGAUAGAUAAUGGCUUGAUCUUUUGUUAAGUUAAUUAAAUAAAUUAUUUAAUUAUUUAAUGUAAUAGAAAAAUCGGUCCCGCUACAGGUACAGGGAAGCAAUUACAGAACCGGUACAGGGUUUUAAAAUUGCUGACGUGGCAGUAGUUGUUAAAUAAAAAAACCAAAAGGGAAUACGAAACACCGAAACUCAAGAGGGGCGAAGUGAAAGUGUGAAACAUUCUUCCCCACUCCAACAUCCACACUCGCUCAAGAGGAACCCUAAGUCGCCGACAUCUGAACCCAACACCAACCAAAGCUCAACCGGCCGUCGCACUAGCCCAGUGACAGAGAAAUCCACUGGCGCCCAAACCUGAAGUUCAGAGCACUGGCGAAGCAGCGACGAAGGCAAACCCAGAGAUGGUGAAAUCGCGCGCUGCAAAUCUUAAUCGAACUUGAAAUCGACGAUCGCACGACCUUCUCCUCAGUUCAGUGACGAAGCAGCUAUAUAAGUAGGGAUGUCAAACGGGCCGAGUGGCUCGUCGGCUCGUUAAAACUCGGCUCGUGGGUUUGACGAGCUCGAGCCGAGCUCGUGGGUUCGUCCAAAAAAUUGAAUUUUUUUUAAAAAAAGGUGCAAAAAAAAUUAAAAAACACGAGCUCGCGCAGCUCGUGGGCUCGGCUCGACCCACGAGCAACGAGCCAUGCUCGAGCUCGGCUCAUUAAAAAUGUGCCACGAGCUCGGCUCGCCACAAGCCCAAGCCCAAGCCCGAGCCCGAGCCGAGCUCGUGGUUUAAAGGACCGAGCCGGCUCGACCCAUUGCCAUCCCUAUAUAUAAGUGGCUCCUUCUUCGGUGGAAUCUGCUGCAGAAGUUCUGUAAGUGGGUUCUGUUUAUGCUAUUGGGCAUUUCUAUACUUCGUUUAUGCGGCUGUAUUCAUGUGUUUGUAUUGAUGCUGUUGGUUGAGGGGUAUAUGAAAGGAUUUCAUCAUUGUUGCCCUUUUUAUUUCGCUGCCUUCUAAGAAAAUUUGUGUUCUUCAUUUUUGUCCCACAGCAUAGGGCAGAACCCUGCUAUGAUACAUAGCUUUAUUAUUUUUCUAAUUCUCAACUUAUCAGACUUUGAGAUAGUUGGCCAUACUGUUAGUUUAUUCUUGUAAGGUACAUGUGUGCUGGGAUUGCAAUCAUAAUUAUAAGCUUUUACAUUAUAAGAAAUGUGUUUGUGGAAGUUAAAAUCUUGAAGCUUUUACAUUACGAGCUUUUACUACUACCUUUUUGUAAUACUGAAAGUUAAAACUACACUUCAUUCAUCUUUCGAUUAAUCAGAAUGUUGUCGUUUUUGUUUCAUCCUCGAACCCUCCACAAUUAUGAUUCACAUUGUGUCAUUUGCAGUCAUCCAGUAGAAUGAGAGGAAGAAACUUUGGAGUUUGUCACGGAUGUAGAAGCAAUACUCACUAUUUCGGACAAUGUCAAUCAAAAAAACGAUGCCCUAGUUGUGACCACGGAUAUCGAAAAUGUUUUGAGCUCAAACGAGAUACCGGUAAUAAAGGGCGUUUGUUCUUCACAUGUAGCGAUGACUGCGGAUACUUUGAUCGGGUGAAAGAUGAAGUUUUCGAUGAGGAAUCGAGUUCGGUUAAUUGUCCGGUGAAUCAUGCGCCCAACAAGGAAGACGAGGAGUUGCCAACGCUGUUUGACGGACUAGCUAGAAUUAGCGAGAAACGAGGUGUCGACAUAUCACUCAAGCUGACUUUCAGCAAGGGAAAAGAUAUUGCCAAAUGUGACAAGCAAGGAAAGGGGUCGAGUUGAAGGGUUUAUUUAUGUAUGUGGUUGAUGAAUUGAUAUCCUUGUUCUCGGGUUUAAAUGCGGUAGUUCCCCUUUGACAUUGUUUCCCAGUGUAUGUAAUUAGGAGUCCCCACCAAAACUCAUUGUUGAAAGGUUGAUGAAUUUUUUAUCAAUGUUUUGUUCUGGGAUAUAAAGUCUAUGGUAAAUGCUUGGUGAUUAAGAACAGUUUUUAUUGGAUUAGUAAAUAGUUGUUUGUGUAGAGACGAUGCUAAAGUAAAUAAUUUGAAGAGUCUAGUAUAUGGAAGUAGAGUCAUUUACCUUCAUGUACACUUAAACUAACAAUUGUCUACAUCUUAUCAUAACAUUAGCUUUAUCAACAACACAACGUUGGCAUCGAGUCUGAGAGUUUGUUUCUUCUCGUACAUUAGAUAUAGUGCCAGGCAGGCUACUUCUGAGAGAGAGUUUGUGGUUAAGAGUUCCACUGCAUAUGUAAAACUCAAGCUAUGUUCAACUUCAAUCAAAUUGCAGACUUUAAUAGCUAAAUGCGAUAGAAAAAAGCAUUUUAGACGCAAAGCCUAAAUUACACACAAAAGAAAAAGAUCUAUAAAUGCCAUUUUCACCAUUAGGAAGGCACUGGUAAGCAAUAGAGGAAGCAACAGCAAGUUACCAGUGAUUGACAUGAAUGCAAAGUCGAUGUCACAGGUUCCUAUUACACCCUCCAAUGAGAAAUGAUGAUGUUAUUAAGAAUAAUUCGAUUUAUAUGGAUCCAUAAUAAUACGAAAGCAAAGAAAAACAAAUUAAAAAUCAAUUAAAAGAAACUUUAUACUUCUACAGCAUACAAAUAACAGCAGAUGGAUACACAUCCUUGUUCAACAUUAAUUACUGAACUUUUUCCUAAUGGACAGUAGGAGCAACCAGUAGCAAUUCCUAACGUUUCAGCAAAAACAAAAAUGUGCAUUUUAUCGGGAAAAUGCACCAUAUUCGGGUCUGGACUUCUAUUAGGAGUAGCACUUGUUACAUGUUACAAGUUCCAAUAACUGUCAGCACAAAAACGAAGUAGAAUCCAUAAAAUUCACCACAGCACCUUACCGACGGUCUCGUUCCCCAGAACUCUUUCUAGAGUCACCACCAACGUAUUCGGUACAGAAAAAGCAGCAUCACCUUCCUAAAAUAAACAAAAAUACAAAAUUAACUACGUCCAUCCCAUGCUUAGCCAUGCCUAAAAAUGAAUGAAUUUUACCUCUAAGAAACAUUUUCUUGUUUGGUGAUCAGAAGCUGGUGCCACCUUCUUCGGGAAAAUGUGAAUAGGCGUAUGGCAUGACUAGACCUGAUUUCGAAAGUGAAAAUUUAGAACACAUAUUCAUGCAAUUGAAGCAGUGAAGUAGUCAACUAUGGAUGUCAAUUGAAGCAGGUAAAAGUAGAGGAAGUAGUGUAUGUCAUUUACACUAAGUAUCUGUCAUUUGACAUAUCUGCCUAUUCCAUCAAUUCAUGCAGUUCAUUAACUCUCAUCCUCACCUUUAUUCUCAGAAUGCUACUCUUCCCACAUAGAUAGUUUCUGCCCCAUCCAUUUAAUGUCAUUUUUUACAUCUAACCAAACUAUUUAAAGCAAAAGAUGGUGACAUACAUAGAUUAAAAAUGAAAUUCAUUGAUAAGUGACAACUUAAUAAUGCAUUGCUCUUAGCAGGAAUUAAAGCGUAAGUACCACUGUGAAUUAAUGCAUUACUCUUAACAACAAUUAAAGCAAAUCAACAACUUGUUUUUCGAACGUUGGCGAGGCCAAUUUAAUGCAUACCUUGAGCAUUAAGUACAACAUUUGUAGGCGUCGGCCGGAUGACAUAUUGUAAUGGCGUCGACAUGGAACACUGUGGAAGUUGAGCUGCCUGGAAAUCCAUGGACGUCUUUUCUGUGUUACUACGACGAAGUGUAGGUCUCUUUCCUUUGCUCGAUGAUACACUAGCCUGCAAAUUGGACAAGUAAAACAAUUAUUUGUUUAAAAAAGGCAACUCAACGAAGAUAAUAAUAGUAAGACAUUACCUUUACUCUUUUUGAGGUGGACUCUAACAGGCUUUUCCUCCUAAGUUUCCUCGGUGCUCCCUUUCGGUUACACAAUACAGGAUCUAAUAUGUCUGCAUUAGUACUUACCAUCUGGGUGGGGCCAGCACUCGUGACAUUGGACUUUGUAUUGCUUAAUUCCUUCGCUUGCGAUCUUAUCGAGUCCAUUAUACUACGUGACCAUCCUUCAUCGUCUGCUGCAAGGUCCGCUACCUCAGAGAAAGCCUGACACAUUUCGUCGUACCUCAACUGUCCAGGAGUAUUUGCCAGUCCAUCAUAAUUUACUGCAAUUCUACUGUGUGCUCUACUGACGUCUCUUCUCCAUCUUCUUAUUAUGUACCGAUCAGGCAUCGACAUAAUUUUAUUACGGAGUAAGACAGCAAUUGCAUGCCUGCAAAUGAUUCCCCGAAAUUCAAACAGGUGGUAACUACAAAUCAAUUCGCAUGUAUCCCUCCGAAAUGAUACGCUAAAUGUUUUCAUCUUUCGGCUCUCGUUAAGUGCGACAAGCUCAUGGACCUCGUAAGUCGACCAGUAGCAAUCAUUUGCAGUUUCAAAUAUGAUGUCGCAAUAUACCUUUCCAGUGAACUCAUCAUGAACUUCUUUGAAUUUUAAAAUUGUAUACACUGCUUGAAAUUGCCUUUCCAUUUCAAAAAUUGUCGCACACGGCACCAUUUGGGAGUACGAUUUGAAAUCAGCUUGAAACUCCUUUUCAACCUUACUUCGUAGUGCUCUCUCGAACUGCUCGACGAACUGCUUAAGUGAGGUUUUAGAAUGCACAUACCCGUCAAAAAAGGCAUUCAUACUCUCAUUUCGUUGUGUAGUCGACAUACCUACCCAGAACGUGGUGUUCAACAAACAAGGCACCCAACGACCUCUGUUUUCAUACAACCCCGCUAACCAAUCAUUAUCAUGUAAUUCGUACAUUUCCAGCAUCAACCUCCAACCUUCUUCGAAUUCAUGACCAUUUUCAGAAUCAUAGACCAAUCCAUGAAUUGCAGAAAAUAUCGAGCUCUUAUGACCAUGAUAUCCGAACUUUUCUGGCAACUUUUUCAUAAUAUGCCAUAGACACCAUCUAUGUUUCGUGUUCGGGAAAACAAUCUUGAUUUCAUUUUGCAUUGCCCGGUCUUGAUCAGUAAUGAUUCCAUUAGGAGCUUGUCCAUGCAUGCACUCAAGAUAUGUUCUGAACAACCACACAAAAGUCCUGGUGUCCUCAUUUGAUAGCAGUCCGUACCCCAACAGUGUGGACUAUCCAUGAUGAUUCAUCCCAACAAAAGGGGCGAAUGGCAUGUUGUACUUAUUUGUCAAGUACGUAGUAUCGAAAGUAACAACAUCAUCGAACUCUUUGUAAGACUGCCUACAUCUAUGAUCUGCCCAAAAAACAUUAUUUAGCUUACAUUCCUCAUCUAAGUCCAUGCUAAAGUAAAAUCAUGAGCACCGUGCUUGCAUAUUUGAAAUGUACGCCUAUAUUGCUAUAGCAUCCCCUUCUCCAAGGCGUAAUCGUCUCACUUGUUCAACGUAGUUCCGACAAUCUUUCUCCACGAAAGUAGUAUUCUCAUAUCCACCAGCUUCAACAACUGCGGAAUUAUAACUCUUGUGCAACGAAAUUCCUGCCAAAUCGUUCACUUCUAGCUUUCGCUUCACACUUGCACUCAAUUUUCAGUUGCAUCUAUACAACCUAGACUUGGAAAGACUCGUUUUAUGAUUGUAAUCCAGGUGCACUUUAUUAAUUCUCUAAGCCCCAAGAGUAUCUAAAGACGCAGAUAUUCUUGCUUUACAAUUUGUUUGACUUGAAGGUUGCGGUUUCAAGGAUCCGCCUGUAGCAUAACUUCUUCGACCUUCACGACUGCAUGUGAACGUCACAUAUCUGAUAAUUCCAUCUUCCCAUUUUUUGGAAUUCCUUUUUCUAACUGAAAAUCCUAUGGUAUAAGCAUAUCUGUUAUACAACUCAAACAUUUCCUUCUCAUCGUUGAACAUCAUACCCACUGCAGGCACGGUCGCAUCCUCUCCUAUAUUUUCGCUAUCCAAUGUAUUCAAAUUCUCAACAACAGUCUCGUUAUCACAUUCCCACAACAAAUCUUCAUUGCCGUUUUCCAUUAUCUCCUUUUCUGCCACAAUAAUUCAUGAUUAUAAGAUUACCCAACAAUGAACUGGUAAUUGCAAAACUGAUCAACAAGCAGAAUUCACAUAUGUAUACCAAAAUUUCAGACCAAAGUCAGUGAAUUCUGUGACAUACAAGCUUUUCAUAGCCAAAUUCGACACAAAAAUCAACUACAGUCUUGACAAAAAAACCAACUAAAGUCCGAAGAAAUAUUCAUUUUCAAGCACUAAUCAAAUCUGCUUAAGUUACAUAUUAGGGGGGAAAGAGAAAUUCUAUUAAACUUCUAAUAAACUAAAACCUUAUCAGAAACAAGGAUUUCACCACGUCUAAAAUGUGUGUAAGAAAAGGUUAGAAGUUUAAUUGAAUUUCUCUUUUGCCACAUACGAAAUUUGUGUAAGAAGCUAAAUGAGAAAAUAAAAACAACUUGAUGUACAAAAUAAGAAGGCCAAUCUGAGGAAGACUGCAGAGAACUCACUUGGAUUGAAUCUGCACUAUAUUUCGUAUAUUUCGACGACAGCUACAGCACCAUUUUAGGAAGGAGAAUGCGCCGAUGAGAAUGCGUUGAGUCAAAUUAAGCGGUAGAUGGAGGGCGGGCUGGGUUCUACUUUGUGGCAGGGAGAACGCGUCGGUUGACCCUGCUAUGAGCGGCGUUCGAUGGAGGGCGGGCUGGGUUCUACUCUUGGAGGUCGGGCUUUCUUGUAGAGAAAUUAAUGGGAAAAUGGCUAAGAUUUCGCGGUUUCCAUUUGACGUCAUUUUUUCCCCCUUUUUUCUUAUCUUAAUUAAAUAUUAUUCAUUGGUGCCACAUCACACAUUUCAAAAAUCUGUAGCUUUCCUGUAAAAAUAAUCUGUACCCACAACUUUAUUCUAGAAAAAUUCAAACUUUUUACUCUGACACACUUUUUUAUUCGUAACCUUUAUCAUAAUCCCCAAGUCAGUGGGUAAAGACUGGAACACGACAUCCCUGUCUUCACUUGAGGAGUACUUGCGGUCAUCGAUGGUGGCAAGGUUGGAGGUGGUAGUAGUUGCGAUGGGGUGAGAAUAAAGAAAUUUGCCCUUAAAAUUCAAGAUUAUGUAUUUGUGGGAUAUUUUAAAAUAAAUUAUUGUUCGGUAGGGAUUAAAAUUAAAUUUUUAGCAAUUUUUAAUAAAAGCUAAUGAAAUGUGUGGUUGAAGACUUGAAUUUGUGAGUCUAAUAAAAUAUGUUAUUAAAAUUAAUUGUUGACUUUAAUUUGGAGGUAUAUUCUAUUAAAACUUUUGAAGACUUUUUUAAAUGAUGACUUUUGUAGAUUUCGUUGAUCUUUUAUAGAUUUAUAUGUAAUUAAUGGAAGUUUUUCAUUGAUAUUUAUGGACUUUUAUUUUAAAAAUUUUAUAGACUUUUAUAGAGUUCAAAUUUUUUUUUGAAGACUUUCAUUGGAAAUAAAAUUCCCAUUGAUCUAGUACAACGUUAUGAAAUUCUUUCAUACGAAGUGUUGUUUCCCACAAUUUCCCUUUUCCUACCUAUAUAAUAAAAUAAGAAGACCUCACAUAACUGUUGGUCUUCUCUCUCUUGCGAGGCGAUUUUCCACCGCCUUCUACCCUCUCGAGGGUUCCUUCUCCUCUCACGGAUCCCUGAGUAGAGGUUGCCCCCCUGCUUCGGUGCAGGCUUCAUCUUGUGUAUUCGAGCUCUCUCUCCAUGGAGUCAACUAUUGCCAGUUUGUGUGCAAAACUUUCUCUCAUAGCACAAGAGGAAGACGUCUUACUGGUGGAGGAAGAUGAGGUGCUGAUUCCCCAUCGCAGUGACAAAUGCUUGCUUUUCAAACUGUUAUCCAGCAAGCACUUCAAUAAAGAAGCCUUCAAAGGAACUAUGAGGCGGUUAUGGCAUCCAAAUCGAACUUUAAGCAUUCAUGACCUUUUCCCUAAUUUACACAUUGCUGAGUUUGAUGACAACAGAGACAAAGACCGUGUUAAGUGUGAGGGCCCAUGGGUUUUUGGUAAGCAAUUGGUCCUCACCAAAGAUGUUGAUGGUCUUGAGCAAAUCCACCAAAUUUUGUUUUCUGAGGCGAACUUCUGGGUACGAAUUCAUGACCUCCAUGUCAUGGUUCGAAAUUGGAAAAUGGGAGAUUUUAUUGGGAGGCAACUUGGUAAGGUUAUUGAAGUUGAUAUCGAUAAAAUCGAGAUUGCAAGGGGCGAAUUCCUUCAUGUUCGGGUUUGUCUUGACAUUUCAAAGCCUCUCUUGCGUGGAAAGAAAAUAUACGUCGGCUCUUACAAACCUUUUUGGACUCGAUUUUCCUAUGAGCGACUACCAAAUUUUUGUUACCUGUGUGGUGUGCUGGGACAUGGUCACAAAGACUACAUUCUAUGGAAACCUGCUAUGGAGGCAUACACCACCUCUGAUUAUUCCUAUGGUCCUUGGUUACGUGCUGGUAAUUCUAGUGAUUAUAGCGGUCCUAUUGUCGAUCGUCAAAUAAAUUCCCGGACUCCUGACUCUCCGAAUAGCCUUGCAAACCCAAGUUCUGACCCGAGUUCCGCUAAUAUCACUCAUGUUAACCUGGUGAAUUUGACAAAUAAGGACCAAUUACUGGAACCCUAUGGCAAGGGAGAUCCUGCAAUGUUGCUGAAUUUGACAAAUUCCCAGGAGUUACAACAAACCAAUUUUGAAGGAAUUUCUACAGCGUCACGGACAGCAACCAAUCUGGAGCUAACACCUCUACAGACUGAUGCCAUUAUGGAUAAUCUAACGGCGGAGAAUACUCGUCACAGUGGUCUUGCUGAUACUCAGACUAAGGGUACUCAUGGCCUUUUACAAACAGAUCCUGUUUCAUCCAACUCUGCGGAGGUCUUAACUGGAGCAAAGGGAGCAAAUUUCACUCGAAGAUGGAAAAGACUAAAUACGAACCACGCAAUUCACUCUAUUGUUCCCCCUCCGCAAACAAGUCUCAAGCGAUCCCUGGAUUUCCCCUCUGAAAAUGGUACAACUGUCCAAAUGCCUAAAAGACUGAAGGGCGAAGAAAAGACAUCCGAACAGGAUUUUGACCACAACUCUCAGCUUUCGGUGGUGGCUGAAAUUCAGCCCCACCGAUCCCCUUGAAACUACUUAGCUGGAAUGCACAAGGGCAUAGGAACCCUCGUGGCAUUCAUGCUCUUUCUAAUCUUAUCAGAAAAGAAGAUCCCGAUGUUUUGUUCUUGCAAGAAACAAAACUUAAUGCUGCAAACAUGGAACUCUGUCGGAUUAAAUUAAAGUUUUAUGGCUGCUUAAAUGUUCAGGCAGUGGGCCGUAGUGGUGGAAUUGCACUCCUUUGGAAAUCUAAUGUAAAUUUAUCAAUCCUGGGUUACUCUACAAAGCACAUUGACGCUAAAAUUGAGUCACCUCUACAUUGUUGGUUCUUAACUGGAAUCUAUGGCCAUCCCGAGACAACUAAACGCAUGGAAACUUGGAAUUUAUUGAAGAGGCUGAAAAGAAACUCUUCAGAGGCAUGGCUUGUCUUUGGUGAUUUCAAUGAAAUCCUAUCUAACGAAGAAAAAUGGGGAGGUCGUGAUCGACCUAGACAACAACUAGAAAAUUUUCAGCAUAUGUUUCUCGAAUGUGAGCUCAGAGAUCUUGGGUUUAAAGGCCCCUAUUACACGUGGUAUAAUGGAAGACAUGACACUAACCAAAUUUUUGAAAGGCUUGAUCGCUUCAUUGCUAAUGAUUCUUGGUGUCGGCUCUUUACACAAGCUAUGGUUACUCAUGGUUCAACUACAUACUCAGAUCAUCGUCCUCUUUGGAUCCAGCUUCAAGGUGCUUCUCAAACACUUAAAGGCCCUAAACCAUUUCGUUUUGAAUCAAUGUGGAUUGGUGAAAAAGCAUGUUCUGACAUUGUGUUAAAUCAGUGGUCUGAUACUAAGUCUCAAAAUCUAGAAAGCAUUAUGAGGAAUAUAAGCUGCUGUAGCAGUCAACUUCAACUUUGGAAUCGAUCUAAAUUCGGAAGAGUGCAAGCGGAGCUUAACAAAGCCAGAACGAAGUUGUCUCAAAUCCAGAAGAAAGAUCCUGCAACUAUAAAUACUGAGGCACUUCGAACAAGUGCUGAAAAGGUGCAAACCUGGAUGGAUAGAGAAGAACUUAUGUGGAAGCAGCAGCCUAGGGCUGCAUGGCUUGAACAGGGUGACCAAAAUACUCGUUAUUUCCAUGCUAAAGCUUCCCAAAGAAGAAAAACAAAUUCGAUUACUAAACUCUUAGAUGAUCAAGGCUGCUGGCAGGAUGGAGGGGCAUGUAACCGGCUAAUCACCAACUACUUUUCUGAUUUAUUCUCCUCUACCGGCUCACGAAAUCAUGCCGCUGUCCUCGAUAAUUUAGAAUGCAAGUUGACUUAUGAUAUGAACAUAGAUUUGAUUCAAACUUUUACAGAAAUCGAAGUCUCCCAGGCCUUGAAGGAGAUGCACCCUACUAAAGCUCCGGGUCCUGAUAGUAUGCCUCCUCUUUUUUUUCAACAAUUCUGGCCUCUUAUUGGUUCCUCUGUUACAAAUGCGGUACUACAUGUUUUAAAUACAUGUGAGUUUUCCCAAGAUAUAAAUCACACCUUUAUUACACUUGUCCCUAAGACAAAAAACCCCCAGACAGUUAAGGAUUUCAAGCCUAUAAGCCUCUGUAACGUCCUGUAUAAAUUGGUUUCAAAAGUUGUGGCAAACAGGAAAAAAAACAGUGCUCCCUACGGUAAUCUUGGAAACAAAAUCAGCCUUUAUUAAAGGGAGACUUAUUACAGAUAAUGUGCUUGCGGCCUAUGAAGUACUCCAUUUCUUACGAAGGAAAAAGAAGGGCAGGAAAGGUUAUAUGUCCCUUAAGCUCGACAUGAGCAAAGCAUGUGAUAGAGUCGAGUGGUCAUUCCUUGAAGCAGUGAUGCAUAAAUUGGGCUUCCAUGACAAGAUUAUUCAACUGGUGAUGAAAUGUGUUACUACGACUUCUUUCUCGAUCCUCAUCAAUGGCUCUCCCACUGGUCACAUCACCCCCUCCAGGGGCUUAAGGCAAGGAGAUCCUAUCUCUCCUUACUUAUUUCUUAUAUGUACGGAAGGAUUGGUUAAUCUAUUGAAUAAGGCAGAAAGAAAUAAAAAUGUGACUGGUAUUCAAGUGUGCAGAGGAGCUCCAAGUUUAAAUCAUCUUCUCUUUGCGGAUGAUAGCUUGAUUUUUUGUGAAGCUAAUGAGAGCACUACGUCUCGGCUACAAGCUCUUCUAAGUAGUUAUGAGGAUGCCUCGGGUCAACAAUUGAACAGGGAUAAAACCUCAAUGGUUUUUAGUGCAAAUGUAAGUCAAGACAAGCAAGAAUCAAUUAUGGCCCUCUCGAAUGCCCCUCAGGUACAACAAUAUGACAAAUAUCUUGGAUUACCACCUAUGGUUGGUCGAUCAAAAACUCGAGCUUUCUCGGACAUAAAACAUAAAGUUUGGCUGAAGUUGCAAGGAUGGAAAAGUAGUAUGUUCUCCCAAGGUGGUAGAGAAAUUCUCCUCAAAUCAGUUGCUUUGGCAAUUCCCUCCUAUGCUAUGAGUUGCUUCAAACUCCCCUCUACAUUAUGCACUGAACUUGAGAAGACGAUGGCUAGAUUUUGGUGGGGCCAACGGAAAGAAGAGAGGAAAAUUCAUUGGCAAUCCUGGAAUGUUAUGUGUAAAUCGAAAUCCUUUGGGGGCAUGGGUUUUAAAGAGCUUCAAAUCUUUAAUAUGGCUAUGCUAGGUAAACAAGCUUGGAGGCUCUUGCACCACACCGAUAGAUUGGUUUAUAGAAUAUUCUCGGCUCGUUAUUUUCCUCAUGGGAACAUCUUGAAGGCAUCUAUUGGUUGUAACCCUUCUUAUGCUUGGCGUGGAAUCUGGGAGGCUAAAAAUCUAUUGGUCCUAGGGGGGAGAUGGGUUGUGGGAAAUGGCAACACUAUACAUAUUUUGAAUGAUAAAUGGAUCCCUGGCAUAGGUUAUCUAAGACGGGAGUUAGGGACUGUUUUACAGCAAAAUCAUAGUCAGCAACUUGAAGGUCCAGUCUCCUCUUUGAUUGAUCAUAACUUAAGGUGGUGGAAUUUGGCAAAGCUUCGAACUCUAUUCUAUCCAAAACUUGUGGAGGCUACUUUGAAAUUAUAUCCUAGCCACUCAGGAGAAGAAGAUUUCUAGCUGUGGGAACAUGACAAAUCCGAAACCUAUACUGUUAGCAGUGCAUAUAGAUUUUUCAAAAACUGCCUCGCUCCUGAUCCUGGGACUUCAUCGCGUGCUGCUGAAAAUAAGAAAUUUUGGGAUACCAUGUGGCGGCUAAAAAUUCCUCAAAAAGUAAAGAUCUUUGCUUGGAGAGCUUGUCAAGACAGCUUGCCUUCUAAACAAAAUUUGGUCCGACGAAGAGUUUCUAUUGCUCCUCAUUGCUGUUUUUGCAAUUACCCAGUGGAAGAUCUAUGCCAUGUUCUACUCCAUUGUCCUUCUAUUUAUCAAUUACUUACCGAUCGGUUUCCAGUGUUAAAGACUAAGGCUUAUCUAGGAGGUUUUAUGCAAGCGGCUAUUGAUAUAUUAACAAAAGUUUCAAAGGAUGCUCUCUCGGAAUUUCUACUCAUUACUUGGGGUUUUUGGUUCCGUCGGAACAAGAUGGUUCAUGAUCAGCUUCACCUCUCACCACAACAAAUUAUUGCUACUGCACUAGCUAAAAAACCUCCUGCUGAAUCGGGCCUUACUAUCAACGUCACUCCCGGUGUGCCUCUCCAAAAAUAUAGGUGGUCUGCACCACCUACGAAUGCAUUAAAACUCAAUACUGAUGGCGCAUUGUUCUUUGAUUCAAAUAAAGCUGGACUCGGUAUUAUUCUACAUGAUCACGACGGAGAAAUAAUUUUGGCUGCAAGUCGGCCUGAAAACUCACUUCUCGAACCUGAACACAUUGAAGCUGCGGCACUUGUAAGAGGGCUACAACUUUGCCUCAAUCUCGGCAUAUCUCAUUUGUUGGUGGAGAGUGAUUGUUUAUUCCUCGUUAAUGAAGUCAAUAAAUCAGUUUUAACCUCUGCAUCAAUCCGAUCUUAGGCGGCCAAAAUAAAGGAAUUAAUGCAGCGUUUUCCUAAAUGUAGCCUCCAUCACUGCAACAGACUCACCAAUCAAGCAGCGCAUUUUUUGGCGCGACAUGCAUGGUCUCUAGAAGACACAGUCCUUUGGUGGCAUAGUGUUCCUUCUGUCAUUGAAAAUGUAAUUUUCAUUUAUAAGCACUAUUGUACCCUUUCUUAAGGCUUUUUUCCUUUAUGAAUGAAACUACUACCCAUCAAAAAAAAAUAAUAAAAAAAUAAAAAAAUUAAAGAAUAAAAAUUUAAUACCUUAAUUAAAUAAAUAAUAAUCAAAAUUAUACAUAUAUAUGAUAAAUAAUAAAUUUAAUAUUCACUAUUAUUAGUAUAAUAUACUUCUAAAAAUAAAUAAAAAAUCAAUACAUUGAAAUUUAAUUUCAUAUGAAAUUUUAUAAUUUAAUAAAAUAUAGAUAUAUUUUUCACAAAAAUGAAUAAAAAAAGAUAAAAAAGUUACAAGAAUCCAAUUUAAUAAGAGACAAAAUCUCCCAAAAUCUUUUAUUUUUUACAAGAAUCCAAUUGAAUAUUUAUUAGUAUUUUUUUUGUGAAAGUUUUUGAAUAUUUAGUGAUCAAUAAGAGAUAAAUUUUGAGAUUUUAUAUGAGUACUUUAUACUUAAAAGUUAGCUUUUUAGAGACUAUAUAAAAUUUCAGAGACUUUUAUAAAAGUAUCUAGAAGUUAUUAAAAUUUGAAUAUUCCAAAACUUAUAGAAAAUUAUAAAAAAUUUUAAUUAAAUAUACCGUAACUUUUGGAGGCCUCUUAAAAAAGUUUUAAUUGAAUACAUCAAUACUUUUAGAGAGUAUCAAAAAAUCUAUAUUGAAUACUUCUAAACUUUUUAAAUCCCAAAAGUCAUUAAGGUCUUCUUUGGAAGAGAUUUUGUUGCCAAUUGCAGCCAAAAUAUGACCGUUAUACAUAUUUGUCAAAUAAGGCCAGUCGUAAUUUUUUACUAUUUUAAGACUGAAUGACGUUUUUGCCCCUUAACAUUUCAUGCGUUCUUCAUGAGACAAGGGCAGUAUUGGUAUUUCAUUUUGAGACAGUAAAAUAUUCCGACUGGAAAGUUACCCAUGUUCAAUUGUAACGACUAAAAAAUUGCUGCAAAUGGGAAAGAAAAGCUCUCACAAACAAGGGCUAAAAGUUUCAAUUGAAUACAUACUCCAUAUACUACAAAACAUGGGCUAAAAGCUAUUUUCUUUAAAUGGGCCUAGUACAGUGAUGGGUCUAAUCAAGCUAUUAAUGGACCCCAAGUGCCCCAGCCCACUAGCUUAGGGUCCAUGGGCUUUUGCCCCCAAUUCGAUACUGAAGUAGAAAACGCAUAGUCAAUUAGCAGCAAUAGAAGUGAAACUAUCGAUAGCAUUUCGGUUCUCUCGUUGUCCCUCUCGAUCUUCUGAUAAGCCUCUCCCCCUCGAAAUCAACAGCUUAGCGAGAGAGAGGCAAAAAUAUCCUUGCCCAUUCCUUUUGCUUUCUGGGACGUCAUUAAAAGGUAAAUAUACGAGUCAAAACCAAAUUUUUUCCUUACUGUUCUUUACAAUUCUUAAUUUCUUCGUACACUGUUAAUCAUAUUCUUUCUUUUGUGGAUUUUGGACUAAUUUCUCGGAUCUAUUUGUUUACUGGUGGGUUUUAGUCAGUGACUUGAUUUCAACACUUAUACACUUAUAUUUAGUCAUGAUCUGUUCGGGGAAAACUGAAACUGCUUAAUCUGAGAAUUUAUUUAUCUGUUUUUGUUUUGGAUUUGGUAAGGGAAAGGAGGACAGAGAAGAAAAGAGCAGUAUAAUAUUUUCAUUAUUUGUUAAACAAGCUCAACUGAGGCUGGGAAUUGGAAGACUCAUUGUUUUCCACUAAGAUACUUUUUAAAGGGAAAUGCCUCCCUUAUUGUCAAAAAUUUUCUUCUAGUGCUAUGGUUUUUUAGAAGGGAAGCGAAAUAUUUCCUUUUCUUUCCAACAAAGAAAAUAUACUGUUUACUUAUUGAAAUAGGUCCAUGAUAUGAAAGUUGAACCUAUUAAAAUGGUUGUUAGAUGAAAUGAUACUGGUUGGAAGAAAAAAUGAAUUUUAUGUGCCUCUCUUUUUGCUGACCAAAAGGAUGGUUAUAAUUUGGGUUGAUUAAUGCAAGAUAUUGAAUGGUUUUGUGUCCCAAAAAAAUAAAAUAUAAAAAAAUUAUUCAGAUGAUCAAGAGAUGUGAAUAGUAACUCCAACUGUAGAAUAUAGUUAAUCAGAUUUGGAAUGUUUUCAGUGUUUUAGGAUUAUGAUUUUACAAAAAAUAGAUUGGGUGAUACUAAUUAGUGAUUCGGAAGAAGAGUUGCUCUAAAAGGUUGGGUGCAAUAUGGUGAAUCUUGGAGGAGAAGGGUAGGGAGAAGAGAGAGCUUCAUUGGAUGCAAGAGAUUUGAAUGGUAACUGACCAACUGGAGAAUAUAGUUUGUAAGAUUUGGAAUGUUUUCAUUGUUUUAGGAUUAUGAUUUCACAAAAAAUAGAUUGGGCUAUCGUAAUUAGUGAUUAGGAAUAAGAGUUGCUCUAAAGAUAUUGGGUGCAAUAUGGUGAAUCUUGGAGGAUGAGGGUAGGGAGAAAAGAAGAGAAUAGAGAGAUUCGUCCUUUCAAGAGUAAGUCAAAUUUGACAGGGCAUUUCACACCAUAAAAUAUGAAUCUUGCAGAACACUGCAGAACACUACUUCUAGAUGAAUGGGAUAAUAACAAAGUAAAUAACAAAGUAUUUAUAACUAGUAAACAAUGUGAUUCUUGACAGAUCAAUCUAGAUUAAAGACGCAUAAAAUUGAAAUUUUGCUUUAUGAAAUUAUCAACAAGUCCUGCUGUGUAAUUCAACACUUUUACCCUUUAUUCAGUUUAUUGCCCUUGUGUUUGGCAUCACUUUUUCUUCAAAAGGACCUCAAUUUUAUUCAUCGUGAUUUAAUGAAAUAUUUUACAUUUUCACGGUCAUGUAAGAAUAAGAAUCCUUUUCUAUUAUUACCUUUUUGUUUAAUGCGUAGACAUUACUUCAGAUUUAAUGGCAUCAAAGUUGCAGCAAUUGCAAGCAAAGGCCUCCCAAGCCUCACAAUUUGUGGCCAAGCAUGGAACUUCCUACUAUAAGCAGUUGUUGGAGCAGAACAAGCAAUAUAUUCAAGAGCCACCUACUGUGGAGAAAUGUAAUGAAUUGGCCAAGCAGCUGUUCUACACUCGUCUUGCAAGGUUAAUUUAUUUUAAUGCAUGCUGUACACCAUUCAGAAUUGAGAUGUAUUCCCGGAUGGCAUUUCUUUCUUUUAAUUUGACUUUGAACUCCUGUACUUACAGUUAUUUCAUGUCAUUCCUGUGACGCGUGGCUUUCAUUUACCUUCUCAAAGCUUACGCUUUAAGUGCCAUUUGUGAGGUUUAUGCCUUGAUUAACUGAGGCUUAUGCCUUGGUCUGUGGGCUGCUAAUUAUAGUAUAUUCCAAUCGUAUUUUUAAGAUUCAAGUUAUUUGCCCACCUUUGGUAUGUUUUUUCAUAUGGAUGGCUACGCACCUAAUCCUGUACCAAUUUGGUGGAUUUUAAUCAUAAGCAUAACAGCAUUCUAAGAAGAAAUUGGCUGCAAAAGUCAAAUGUCGUAUUUGUCAUGUACUUUGUAAGAUGUCAAUUGCCUUCGCCCAAUGUUUAAAAAGGCGGAAAUAGGUACUGAGGUGUUUUUCCUUUGUGAGGCGGGACAGAUUGAGGCAUAUGCCUCACAACAAACCAAAAAGUGCUAAAUGAGUUGCAUCUCCAUGUUUUGCUAGUUUGUGAGCAUUAGUUUCUCCAGUCUGUUUAGUAGUUCUCAUUACUUGGACUUUGCAGCAUUCCCGGCCGUACGGAAUCAUUUUGGAAGGAACUUGAUUAUGUCAAGAACAUGUGGAAGCACAGGCAGGAGCUGAAGGUUGAAGAUGCUGGCAUUGCUGCUCUAUUUGGCCUCGAGUGUUUUGCAUGGUUUUGUGCUGGUGAAAUUGUCGGAAGAGGAUUUACGUUCACUGGUUACUAUCCCUGAAAACUGCUAGCCUGGUAAAAUGUUUGGGCCAGUCGAUGUUCAGCAUCAUCAUUGCGGUUAUUUUGAGUUGACAUUCUUUGUGCAAGAUUUUGUUUUCCUACAACGUUGUCAAAGCUGAGAAAUCAGUUGUGUUAAAUUCGAUUGUCUCAAUAAGUAGCAUAUUCGACAUCAAAACCCCUUCUCUAGCGAAGUGAACUAGGUAAAUGAACUUGAUAAUGGAAUUGUAAUUCCUGUGGAAGAUACAGCUACCUGUGAUGGACGUAGCUCUGAGAAAAGUUUUCGUGGUUAUUCCGUGCUUUACCUUAAACCCUAUCUGUUCUUUGUUCUAAUAAGAAUGGCUUUACAGCCUUGGCCAUGUUUAACAAAGAUAUUUAUUGUUAUUAUUUUAUAACUUAUUUGCUUUGCAAGUAAACUUAAAACUUUUUAUGGGAUCUUGAUGUUUACAUUUUGCCACCUAACAUUGGAUAAAAAACCGAGUUUCCAGGAUAUUAGGCAUGGAACUGGAUAGCGUUAGUUCGAAGAAAUUAAAAUUUUAUUUAUUAUACCUUUCAGUUUAAUACUCUGAGAGUAUCUUUAGAAUUUUUAAAUUACUAGUCGUUAUCAUGUGCAUUGCACGAAUUUUGUAUUUAUCAUAUUUUUAUUAGUGUAUGAAUUUUAAUUUUUUUUUUUGAAAUUUUUUGAAGCAAUAUCUAAAAUUAUUUCCAUGACAUAAGAAAAUAAUUGUAAAUUAUUUUUACAAUUGCAUAGCGGUACGUUAUCUAGAAAAAUAUGCUUGUAUAUUUCAUGUUUAAAUAAGAAAUAUACAAACUAUUUUGCUUAUAUUCUUUGAUAAUGUUGAUGAUUGAAUUGAAGGUGAAGAGUAUAUUUUUAAAUUUUGUGUAAUUCAAUAUUGUAAAAUUGAAAAAAAAAUCUCCGCACAAUGUGGAGAGAGUUAAACCAAGUGCGGAAUAAAAAUAAAAAAAGGUGCGGAGAGAAAAAAAUCUCUCUACAUAGUGCAGAAUAAAAAAAAAAAAAAACUCUCCACACAUUUCGAAGAGAUGACAAACCAACUCUUCGUACAGUAUGAAGAGCAAAAAAAAAUUCUCUGCACUGUGUUCUUUUUGCAUAGUACGGAGAGAAAAAAAACUCUCCGCACAGUGCGUAGAGAGUUGAACUUUGUGUGAAGUAAAAAAAAAAGUGUGGAGAAAAAAAAAUCUUUCUGCAAAGUGCGGAAAGAGUUGAACCAUAUGUGGAGAGUUGGCAAACUCUUCGCACGAUGCAGAGUAAAAAAAAAAAAAAACUCCGCACAGUGCGGAGAGUGACAAACAAGCUCUCCGCACAGUACAGAGAGAAAAAACUCUCUGCACAAUGCGGAGAGUCGUUUUCAAAUUCCUUAAUUACAAGUCAAAUUUCAAAAUUAUAAAUUUUUCGUAUAUACAAUGAAAUAGAGUCGAAAAACAUGGAUCAAAAUUAAUUAUGUCUUCUUUAAAUUUCAGUCACAGCUCAAUUUUCUGAGCAUGCAAAUCAUAUUUACGGUAUUGGAAAUGAGCUUUCUCGUGAUUCAUACAAUGAAACAAUAUGUAAGUUGUGCAAAAAAAAGGGAUAUUGAUAGCCCCCAGGGCACAUCUCCAAUUGGUAAAAAGGGAGGGUGGAGAAAUUCAGCUUUACUUGAGGCUGCCGUGUCAAGAGUUCGAAUCCUGAAAUAUGGAUUUGGCUCUUGGGUAAGUGCAAGUGUACAAGCAGCCUUCCACCCUGUACCCUUGGAGGCAUAAUCUGCGAUUUACCUCCCUCACGAUGCUCCAAGGCAGGGGCAGUGAGAGACCUUUAAGGUUGGGGUUCAACCUUUUUUUAAAGAAGGGGAUAUUGAUAGUACCAUGACAUUACUUUCACAAAAGGAGGCUCUAGGGUACCACCCAAAUUCAAUAUUUUACACUUACUUGAUAAUAGCUCUUGGAUAUUAGAAGCAUAUACAAUUUUCAAUGACAUUAUACUUUCGGAUUGUAGGCUAAGAAUUAAAGUGUCUAAUGUAUUGCUCAAAAGUUGUUUGAGAAAAUGUCUCUUGGAACUUGCAGAUAAAGUCCAGAGAGUUUUUGUUUUUCUCUUCACACUGUGCGGAGAGAUAGUUUGCCAUCUCUCCGCACUUUGUAGAGUCCUUUUUUUUUUUUUUUGCUCAUAUACGGAGAUUUUUUUUUUUUUGCUCAUGGAGUUUAUAUAUGCUAAAACUAUUAUUAUUGUUUUAAUAUUGUUGGCAUGAUGUGUGUGUGUGGAAAAAUAUUUGUGAAUUAUCAUAAACAAAAUUCUUCACAAAAUGUAAAAAAUAAAAAUGCAUAAUAAAUCUUCCUAUUACGUUAAUAAAAUUAUAAUAAUUUUUUUUUUUUUACAAAUAACAUAAAAAAAUCAUUUUUAUCUUCAACAAAAAAACACAUUUAAAAAUUAGCAAUUUCAUAACCAGUUUUUUUUUUUAAUUCUCGAAAAUAGAAUUAUGAAAAAGAAAACAAUAUUGAAUUACAACAUUUAAUACUUAAGAAAUUCAAUAUUAAAUAAAUUUUAUAUAUUUAUAACAAAUUAUAAAUUCAUAUAUGCAGCUUACUGUAUUUGCAGUCAGCUUAUCAUAUAUACAGUUUACCGUAUUUGCAAAUAACUUGUUGUAUUUGCACCUUACCGUAUAUGCUUCCUACCGUAUUUGCAAACAACUUACCGUAUUUCAUCUUACCGUAUAUGCUGCCUACCGUAUUUGCAGCUUAUUGUAUUUUUAUAUACCGAUUUUUGCACUUACAAAUACCGAGAAUGUAGAACACCGUACAUUCACUUACCAAACUGAAUUUCAAAAAAAAUUUCAUAUUUUUAUUUUUUCAACAUAAGCAUAAAAUAAAUAUUAAAUAUAUAUAAAGCACAAAAUAUAAAUGCAUAUGAAUAUGGUGCUCAAUAUUCAAUUUUCCAAUAUUGAAUUAUAUAAAAUUUAGAAAUAUAAUCUUCACAUUCAAUUCAAUCAUAUCAACACUAUCAAAGAAUACAAAUAAAAUAAUUUGUAUAAUCUCAUAUAUUUCUUAUUCAAGUAUGAAAUAUACAAAUAUUUUUUUUCUGAAUGACACAAUACUGUUAUGCAAUUGUAAAAAUAAUUUACAAUUAUUUUCAUAUAUCGUGGAAAUAUACUUAUAGAUAUUGCUUUAAAAACUUUCCAAAAAAUUAAAAUUUAUACACUAAUAAAAAUAUGAUAAAUAAAAAAUUUGUGCAACGCACGUGAAAGUCACUGUGCGGAGAGUUUUUUUUUUAAUAACUUCGCACUGCACUGAGAGUUUGCCAACUUUCCGCACUGUGCAAAGUUUUUUUUUGUUUAACUUUUUUUACUCCGCACUUUGUGAGGACAGUGUCCACACAGAUUGUGCGAACUGUUCGCACAGAAUGUCAUCUCUCCGCACUGUGCGAAGAGUUUUGUCAUGGUGUUUGCUAUCUCUCUGUUCUGUGCGGAGAUAUUUUAUUUUACUUCGCACUAUACAGAGAGUUUGCCAACUCUCCGCACAUGAUUUGUUAUCUCUUCGCACUAUACGAGAGUUUUUUCUUUCUUUUUUAUUUCGCACUGUGCGGAGAGUUUAUUUAUUUAUUUUUUUAAAGUUUAUGUGCAAAGAGUUUUUUUUUUUUUUGCUCAUGGCAAUUUAUAUUUACUAAAAUUAUUAUUAUUUUUUUAAUGCUAGUGGCAUGAUGUGUGAAAGAACAUUUAUUUGACAUAAUUAUUUUUUUAAUGCUAAUUGGAUGAUGUGUGAAAGAACAUUUGUUUGACAUAAACAAAAUGGAAAAUAAAAUUGGAUUAAUUUACAAUUGCAUGAAUAGUAGAUAUUUCUUCCCCUUUUUAUUAGAAGUUAGAUAAAAGAAAUGUUUCUGAGCAUGUCAAAUACAUCGUGGAAGGUUUAUGUAAUUUCUUAAAUAAAAUUUUCUGCCAUAUUAAAUAUUAUUGAUGAAUUAAAGAAGGUUGGAGAAGAUUUUGAAAAUAUUAUUACAGAAUAAAAAUUCGGAAGAUUACAUAUGCUUUGUUUAGUCUUCAUUAUUUUCAAAAAAUAUAUAUUUUUUCUUUUUUUCAAUCACACAUUUUUUGAUAAAAUAAUAUUACGUAUAAAUUUAGAACUUGUUCUUAUUUUUUAAUUACACAUUCUCCAUCAAUUUGUUAUUUUAAAAUGUGAUUUUAGCGAAAAAUGGAACUCAAACGGGCGACUAAUUACAAAACUUGUAAUACACAUUUUCAAAAAUGAAAAAUUUGGGAAAAUGUUUCAAAAUUUUUGUGACAACCUGAUAAUAGAUCAAUGUCACAAUAAUAUGUCAGUCACAAAUAACACAUAAUUAUGAUCACAAUGACAAAGAACAAAUUGUAAGUCACAAAUAUAGAUUUAAUCUUAAUCACACAUUUUUUAUGUCACAUAUUAUUUAUUAAUCAUGGAUUACACAUUUUAUUUAUAACAAAUUAUGCAGCUGUAAAAAUUAUCCAUUUUUUAUUUGUCAAAAUGAGCCCACACACCACACCCUAAUUCGACUUACACCACUACCAUUUCUAAACUGUUCCCAAUUUGAAAUUGCAAGUAGAGACUUGUAAUUUCACAAAUUGCACUAGAGGCUCUCGCCCCUAAAUUUUCACCCGAACCUUAAUUUCUCCCUAUCCUUUUUCUCUGAGGCAUCGAUGGGUUCUGACAUAGGAGGUGCACCAUCUCAAGAUCACAGUCGGGCAAAGUUGCAAUUGCAGCAACAAUAGCACCAUGACUACCAAUGGCGGUGUCAUGGUAGUGACAGUGUCCAUGAUAGGCGGUGGUGACGAACGGCAAUUAUAUUGGUGCGGAUGUGAUUGUGACUUGGGAAAAUGGGUGAACGAAUAAAAAUAAUGCUAUUUGUACAUAAGAAACUAUAUAAUAGUUUAUAUACAUAUGACGUGUCAAAAAUAGAGGGGAGGCUUUUUUUUAUUUGGUUGAUGAAAUUCUAACAUAAUCAUAUCUCACCACAUCAUGUAUAUGUAAUUAUUAUGUAUAUGUUGCAUAAUCAAAAUAAUAAAUCAGCAUUUAUAGUGGAUGGGUUGGUGGUCGAGAGGAUACACUUGAUUUUUGAAAGAAAAAAAUUGCACCCUACUUUUCGAAAUUAAUGAUAAGCUGAAAAUUGGGAGAAGAUGUAAAAAUAUAUUUGAGUAGCCCAAUAAAUUAAGUGGGAAUUAUAGCCGUCAAAUUUUUUAAGAUCCAACUUAAAAAUUUGAUUUAAAGUUUGUUUAUCUAAAAUUAGAUGAUGCCCCACCCUCAUCAUUGACCCAACUCGAUUUUCAAUCUAAAACCCCCCAGUCGCUUCCAUCUUCCUUCUCCCUCUAUUCUUCUUCUUUCUCUCUUCUCUCGUUUAUCGCUCUGACAACUAAUCUCCAUUGCUGAAGCGUAGCUCUUCGACGACUUAUCUCCACCAUUAAGCAGUGGCACUACGCGGUACCUCUUUGCAAGCAUUGGCGUCGCACGUAGGUUUAUUGGUGGUUUUUAGAUCGCGGCACCGUUGGUUUGUUGGUGGUUUUCUAAUGGUCGGUUGAUUGUUUGUUAGUGGUUAUUUGUGGGUGAUGAUGAUGGCGGUGGAUGUUCAAGCGUUGGUGGUGAUGGCAGUGAUAAUGCAGCAUUUGGUUGUUCACAAUGCUUGUGGUGGUGGUGUUGGUUCUGUUAUGGUGUAGGUGGUUGUGGUGGUGAGCAUGUUGCGGAUAUGAUUUGUUGGAAUUUUUUUUGGCGUCGAUGGUAGUGGUUUUGUUAAAUCUUGUUGGUGGCAGUGGUUGCAAGGUGGUGAUGGUGAUUUUGAAGUUGAAAAUGAUAGUUGUUGUAGAUGGUGGCGGCGGUGGUGCCAUGGUAGAUUAGGGUUGGGUGGCAUAGGUGGUGUGAUUGAGAGAGUUUCUGAUCAAUUAUUUGAAAUUGCGACCAAUAAUUUGAAUAUCUUGAGAUAAAAAAAAAAAAAAGUGACUGUAUAUUGUGACUAAUAAAUAAUAUGAUUUAUCAAAUUUGUAAUUUGUGAUUGAUUAAUAAAUUUUGACAUAUAAAAUUUUUUACUUGUGAAAGAUUAAUAAAUUGUGACAUAUAAAUCUUUUCAUGAUCGUAAAAUAUUUUGUGAUCAUUUAAUUUAAGAAUUUGUGGUCAAAUUGUAUAAAAUUGUGAUAUUGAUGUAUUUAAUAAAAAUUGGUUUUUGAAGUUUUAAAUCUUAUUUUUUAAGUUUUAAAAUGGGCAAACUUAAUUUCUUAGAGCGUGUUUGAUCGCAAGCAAUGAAUUUACAUGGAAAGAAAAUAAAUUACAGGCAAUUAAAUUGCCUAUAACUCAUUCGCAUGAAAAUUAACGAUUAAAUCUGUUUGAUUGCUUUAAUUUUCAAUUUAGAAAAUAUUAUAUUUGUCCAUUUUUGAUUGAUGGAUAUAUGAGACCAGAUAAAAAGAGAUAGAUGAGAGAGAAUUAAUUUUAAAAUAAAAAUUUACUUCCCCUAAAAAAAAUAAUUUCUUUAUUUUCAAAGAAAAUACGGUCAUGUAAUCAAAAGUAAAAAAUACUUUCCAUAAAAAAUAUCAAUCAAAUAGUUCAAAAGUAGAAAUUUGAAGGAAAAAUGACAUUUUUCAUGAGAAAUAUUGACAAUCAAAUGUAUCAUUAGAUCUAAAAUUUUCCCAUAAAUUAUUCCAAUACUGGUGUCGUGGUCCAAUUUAAACCACUGCUUGAUAAAAAUUAAAGUUUAAAUUUUAAUUCGAGUCAAAAUUAACAAUUAAUAUAAAUAAUAUAUUUUAUGAAUUUCACAAUUUUUCAAAUAUAUAUUUUAUCAAUUUUUAUUAAAAUCUAUUUUAAAACUCUGAUUUCAGUCCCGAUCAAAGUUUAGUACACCCAAAUACGAAGUGGCCGACUCUGAAUCUGGAUUUAACGUAAAGCCCGUUUAACCAUAUAAAUGCAGGGAAAAAAAACCCUAAACAUCUAGAACCAUAUUUCGCUCGAAUCGAUCCAGCAGUUGCUUCUCUCUAAAUUUCUACUCACCGAAAUCAUCCAUGGGUAAUUUUCGAAGCCGAAAGUUCAAAUCCACUGUUUUAUGUUGAGUUGAUGAGCUGAUUAACGAUUUAUUUGCAGGUAAGGUUCACGGAUCACUGGCACGUGCCGGUAAAGUGAGAGGGCAAACACCGAAGGUGGCCAAGCAGGACAAGAAGAAGAAGCCCCGUGGCCGUGCUCACAAGCGGAUGCAAUACAACCGCCGCUUCGUCACCGCCGGUAAAUUUAGUUUUGCAGACCAUUUUUCACUUUCCUCGUUAAUUAAUCGAUAUUUGUUAAUUUUUGUUUUUGCACAUUUUAUUUCUCUGUGUUUUCAGUUGCUUAGAUAUAUUAUUGUAACUUGGCUGUAUCAUGUUUUUGCGUCUUUUUUUUUUGUUUUCAUAAAUACCCAAAAAAAAAUAAAAAAAUAACUGUUGAACGUAAGCAUGAUGUUAGCCAAAUCAACCUUUUAUGUUUAUUUUUAGCAGAAGAAAUUUAUUUUGCAGACUAACUGAGCAAAAAUAUUUAGGGCCUGUUUGAUAGCAUGGAAUUUAUUUCCAUGGAACUUCAAUUACUUCUUUUCCCAUUUUUAGUUGUUUGAUAGCAUUUUAAAUUCCAUGGAAAUCAAUUCUUGUUUUUGUUAAAAGUUGUGCAAUUCCUGGUUUUUAUGGAAUUCUAAUUCUCACCAUAUAUGGCGAGAAUUGGAAUUCCAGGCACUGAAGCAAGUUUUUUAUUUUUUUUGGACGAAUUUAUUUAUUUAUUUAUUUUUUGUUGGUAAUAGAAACAAAUUCUAAGAAUUAUUAUAAAAAAAUAUUUUAAUUUAAUUGACAAUUUCUAUGUAAAACAAAGCCAAACAAACACCCAAAGAUAGAUGAUUUUCUUGAAUUUUUUUUUAUUUGGCAAUGGAAACUAAUUUCAUUUCCAAUACCAGUAAAUGUCAUCCAUUUAAUUGACAAUUUUCAUGUAAAACAAAGCUAAACGGACAUCGAAAAAUACUUUUAUUUUAACAUUUUUCACGUGAAAAAUUAUACCAAUCAAACGCAAUAAUUUACAUUUCCAGAAAAACAAUUAGGGUGCGUUUGAUUGCAAGUAGGAAAAUUGCAUGGAAAGAAAAUAUUUUCUAGGUAAUUCAAUUGCCUGGAAAUUAUUUACGUGGAAAAUGUUAAUUACACAUGUUUGAUUGACUUAAAUUUCAACCUAGAAAAUGUUAUAAUUUUCCAACUUUAGGUGUUUGAUAGCCAUUAUUUUCCAUGGAAAUUGUUAUUUUUUCCAAUUUUAUCUGUUUGACAAGCACUAUUUUCCAUGGAAAUUGUCACUUUUUCCAUGGAAAAUAUUGGAUUUUUUCCAUGAAAAUUUGUCAAUGAAUGUUCCAACUCUUAAACAAAUUAUAGACAUAAAUUCGGCCAAAUCCUAAUCAAUCCUAAUUAAUAUAGCAGUUAAUUUAUGGAUAAAAACAUGCCAAGAUUCGGUACGAAAGAUGCAUAAACACUGUCGAGAUGAAAUAAUUAUCCCUACCAAUUUAGAUUACUACCAGUUAAAUAUUCUUCUUUGCAAUCAAAAAUAAUAAUCAGAUAAUCAAUUCAAUAAAUAAUGAUGAAAUUUCGUCCAACGUAUUACAUAAAACGAAAAUGAAAAAACCCGUAAAAUCUCUAUCAUAAGAAAAUAGGAAAUAAAAUCAACAUAGAUGUCAUACUUCCACAUAUGUUUGUUGAAUUAUCCAAGCACGUCAUCUUAAAAUAGUGGAGGCGGAUCACGGCCCAGAAUUUCAAAUACUAAAUCACGCAUGAAUUCUUCAUCAGUCAAACUCAUAAAUUCUCUAGCCAGACUCUCAUCCGAUCGAAAAAUUUUCAUUACUUGCAUUAUGUCACUCUUUUCUAUACUCAUGCCUUGUAAUUUUUCUAGAACCAACUGCCAAUUGAUGUGGUUUAGUGUAUCUAAUGUUGCUUGAGUCUCCAUAGCAUUAGCAAUUUUUUUAGAUGAUUCGGCAAUGCUUGAUAGGGCAACGAGACUCUCAUCAUUAGGUUGAGUACGUCGACGGCGAACUUUGUUAGUUCCUCCUUCAGCGUUAUGCUUAGGAGCACGAAUGGGACUUGGUUCGGUAUCCUCAUUUUGACCAUCAACUUCAUGCACAUUUUCAUCUAAAAAAAUUAAUAAAAUAAGAAUUUGUUAGAAUCUCUAAUAUAAUACGAAUUAUAUAAGUUUUUAUGUACGAUCUAGUACGUACCAUGUUCGGGGGAUAAAAUGUCAUUGCCGGUUACAGCACGAUCUCCUGUAGCAGAAUCAUUUCCAAAGAUAGCCUCCAAAUCAUCAUAACGAGCACAAAGUUUGGUCCUCCACUUUCCAAAUUCUGGUUUGCCCUACAAGAAAAAGAGUGAAAUAUGUUUUACGCUAGUCAGUGGUCAAAAUAAAUUAUAUUACUAAUAUUUAAGGAAUAAUACUUUCGUUGGUCAAUGAAAUUUUGUAUCUUCAACAACUCCUCCCAAGCUAGUACAUUGGCUGUGACACGUCCAUUAUGAGGAUCUAACCUAAAACCACUCAUACUUAACAACUGACGAACUUCAACAUAUUCUUUUUUCAGAGUUUUCAAUCACGCCCUCACAUUCUUAUCAGACACCACGACUCCGCAUCCAUUGUGCACGCUCUCGAUUGCUUUGGACACGUGAUAUGAUGAAAAGCUAUUGUCACUUCUUUUGUGACUAGCCAACACUUGAUGUUGUAGUGCAGUUACCAUACAACUAUCCAUUGCAUCACUCCAACGUAUUUGACGAUUCCUAGAAUUAGGAUCCGCUUGGGUUGAGCUUAUUUCCUCCACGUCUGAAUGGAGGGCUGGUCUAGGAACUCGAUAAGGAGCCGUAGAGCUUUGUCGAAUAUUUGCCAUGAUAUCUAUAGUGCAAGAUUAAUAAACAAGAACAUUUAAGAAAAUUAUAUGUCAACAAUUUGUAUCGAAUAACAGUAAUUCAAAUUACAAUAUUUAAAAUUCUAGCAAGUUUAUGUCAACUAUUAUAGGACAUGAAAAAAAAAAGCAAAAAAUAUGCUUCAUGUCAAUAUGUCUUCAAUUCAAGUAAUUACUACAGAUAAAAGUCUAGUAAGUAUAAAUCCAUUACAUAAAAAGAAAAAAAAAAUAAAAAAAAAAAAGCCACAAGAAAAAAAUGGAAAAAAAAAUCAGAUUUCAAGCAACAUCAAUUCCUGCAUUCUGAUUGGGAAGAUAAUCAGCCCACAUUAAAUCAGCAAUCGCAUUCCUCUUAUUAGGCCACAGUUCCUGAUUUGUGAAAGAUAUGUCAGCAUUUGGAGUUUCAUCUUCAGGUACAUCAACAUGCGUAGGGUUAACCUCAUCAUCACUACUAUCUAAGUCGUCCUGCUCACAAACAUCUUCAACGUCAUCAAUUCUUAAGAAGUUGUGGAUGGCAGAACAGGCAAGGACUAUUUUUGCUUGUGUGUCAAUGUCGUAAUAGGGUUGAUGUCUCAAAUAUGCAAAUCUUUUUUUCAGCAAACCAAUUGUACGCUCAAUAACAUUACGUAGAGAUGAAUGUCGAAAAUUGAACAACUCCUUACUACUUUCAGGACGUUGACCUUCAAUGUCUCUACGAUGAUGACGAGUCCUACGAUAUGGUGCAAGAAAACCCGAAACUGAUGGGAAGCCAGCGUCAACAAGAUAAUAUUUACCUAGGAAAGAGUUGUUCAUAAGAUGGUAAUUAGGUAAUUAUUAUAACUUAUGUGUGGAAGAAAUGUUUUCAAAAUAGUGACACAACUUACCAACAGGAAUUGUUAGCUUAUGUCCUUGGCGUAAUAUUGCACUCCGUAACAAUCGACCAUCAUGUGCGGAUCCUUCCCAACCGGCAAGCACGUAAGUAAAUUUCAUAUCAAAUGUGCAAGCUAAUAAAACAUUUUGGGAGAUCACUUGCUUUCUAUUGCGAUAUUUACCUUGCUCCUCUAAAGGCACAUACGCAGCAAUAUGUGUACCAUCGAUUGCUCCUACGACAUCCUUUAAAAAAGAAUACGUUUCAAAAUAAAUGUGUAUAUUGAAGUUUUAAGAAAUAUGACGAAAUAACUACAAACCACUAACCUGGAAAAAGGAGUACCAAUGCUGCACAUUUUCUUUUUCGUAUGGUGAGUUAUGAGGAGUGGCAUUAGUCACAACAUCUCUAUACAGUCUAAGACAAGCGUGUAAGACUCCGUGAAAGUAAAAGCUCACUGUUUGACCAGAAUGAAAAAAAGUAAAACGUCCAGCGCGAUUACGUUGGUCAUGCCCGACUGUAUUCAAAAAAAUUGCGACUUGUUCCUCAAUUCGAACGUAUUUCCUAUCAACCAAUCCAUAAGUUCGCAAACGAGCACAUAAUCUUUGAAAUGGACCUAUUUUCAUCCUAAGGAGAUCACGACAUAUUGUAUCACUCGUGCCAAACAUUCGUGUAAGUGUUAUUUCUCUUUCAGAAUUCCAAUUUGUAUGAGGAGCUCUUGGAAGAUGUCGUGCACGACACCUAAGUUCAUUAUAUAUUACAAUCGCUUGCAUGAUCAUCGUCUAAAAUAAACCUAACUGUUGUCGUCGGCAUCGACGUUGAUUCGUUGUUGUAGCCAUGCUAUAAACUACCACUGUAAAUAAAAAUUCAAUGUAAGAUUAAAAUAAUGUUUGAAUUUGUAUAUUUAAAUGUCCAAAAUCACACACAUAUAUAUCUAGUUAAUUGCUCCAAUGAGAUGCUAUGACUUUUUUAGAUAAAAGUAAGAAAAUAUCACUUUUCACAUUCUCAUUUUUAUAAACAUCUUGAAUGUAUCAAUUGAAUCUACCAGGAGAAAAAAAAGAAUUUAUUUAAAGAGAGUAUUAGUUAUUGUCAAGCUGCUAAAUGACACAACUCGAGAAGAAAAAAGAAAGGAAAAUGUAAGCACAUUGCAUAGGAUUCUGAUAAUUAGAUCACUAAAAGUGUGAAAUUAAUGUUUUAUAAUGACAUCUUGAUUAAUUAAUCGAAUUAUUUUGGGAUGUUUUAGUUAUAAUGACAGGUUUGGAAUAUUUUUCUCAUUUUUCCCACAUAAAAUAGUCAAAAUAUUUAAAAAUUGCAUUACUGACCAUUUGGUUAAUUCCACUCACACAUUCCAAGUUGCGCUACAAGAGCUACAAGAAGAAGAGCUGGAAAGAAGAAUUUCUUCAUGAUUUUGAAGUCUUUAAACUCUAGUGAGUUGAAUGCAAGUAUUUUGGAGGUGAAUAUAAGAAUAAGAGUGAUACAUAUAAUAGGUCUCUCUCUGUGUGUGUUGGAUUGUUAAGGUCUAAGUGGGGGUAUUAAUUGUGUGAAAACAAGGUAGGUGAGGAGGAGC
rnacentral:lncRNA from 1 species